rnacentral:lncRNA from 1 species
GCAAGGUGUGCAAGUUAUUGAAAUCUCUGUAUGGUCUGAAGCAAGCACCAAAGCAGUGGCAUGAGAAGUUUGACACUACUCUAACGUCUGCAGGCUUUGCCAUUAAUGAGGCAGACAGGUGUGUAUAUUAUCGCUGUGGUGGGGGCGAAGGAGUUAUAUUGUGCUUAUAUGUUGAUGAUAUAUUGAUAUUUGGCACAAACAUUGAUGUGAUCAAUGAAGUCAAGUCUUUUCUAUCAAAGAGUUUCGAUAUGAAAGAUCUGGGAGAAGCUGAUGUGAUUCUAAACAUCAAGCUGAUUAAGGCAGAUGGUGGGAUUACUCUCUCGCAAUCUCACUAUGUUGAAAAGGUUUUGAAGCGAUUUGGCUUCUCUGAGUGCAAACCUUCUCCAACACCUUGUGAUCCCAGUGUGACACUGCGAAAGAACAAGAGAAUUGGUUUAGACCAAUUGAGAUACUCUCAGAUUGUCGGUUCACUCAUGUAUCUUGCUGGUGCAACAAGGCCCGAUAUCUCGUUUGCUAUGAGCAAAUUGAGCAGGUUCAUGUCAAACCCCGGGACUGAUCAUUGGCAUGCACUUGAGCGGGUUAUGCGCUACCUGCAAGGUACAAUGAGUUAUGGAAUUCACUAUUCUGGUCAGCAUGCAGUACUUGAAGGAUAUAGUGAUUCGAACUGGAUAUCUGAUGCAGACGAGCUUUAUGCCACCAGUGGUUAUAUCUUUACUAUUGGUGGAGGUGCGGUAUCAUGGAGGUCAUGCAAGCAGACCAUUUUGACGAGGUCAACCAUGGAAGCCGAGCUAGUUGCACUUGACACAACAACCGUUGAGGCAGAAUGGUUGCGUGAACUCUUGAUGGACUUGCCGGUGGUUGAGAAACCAAUACCAGCUAUCCUUAUGAACUGUGACAAUCAGACAGUGAUUGCUAAAGUGACGAGUUCUAAGGAUGAUGGAAAGUCAUCAAGACAUGUCAAAAGACGAUUGAAGUCUGUCAGAAAGUUGAGAAACUCCGGAGUUAUAAGUGUGACUUAUAUUUCAACAGAUAAAAAUCUGGCAGAUCCUUUUACCAAGGGACUACCACGUAAUGUGAUAGAAAUCGCAUUGAGAGAGAUGGGUAUGAGACCCGAAUAAAGUUGCCAUGGUGGAAACCCAGUCUAUGUGAUCGGAGAUCCCGUGAAUUAGGUCCUGGGAAGAACAAGCCAUUGGUGAACUGAGGAGAGUAACCUUUGACCCUCUCUAAGUAAAGAUGCAAUACUCUCAAAUGUUGUAAGGCAGGUUGGCUUUGUGCCUUAAUGUGUUCUGUUGGCUUGUAUUAGCGAAGAUGUUGUCCUGCAGAACAUUCUUUGAAAGAACACACCUAUAUGAGUUAGACUGUCUAACGUCGCAGUCUAUGAGAUUUGGGUGAUCUCUAGUAAACUCAUGAAGAGACCUUGGAGUACGACGUAUAUGCUCCACCCGAGAAGGGGACUACUGGUAGCCAAGUAUUGGUCAUGACUUCAAGUGAAACCCAUUCACGCAAAACUUGCAAUUCAAGGCAUAGUCCAUUGUCCAAGUUGUGGGUUGGUGUAGCUUGGAGUUCUAGGCGGAAGUUCAACUUAACAGUCUCUGCUGAAAAACUAGUAUAUUAAACAGUAGUGAACAGUGGCGAAAAUUGCAGAUGGGCAUUUGAGAUCUGGUGGGGGAUUGUUAGGAUUUAUGGGCUAGGCCCAAUUGAGAAAUUCGAAUAAAUCCCAGGAAAAUCACAAAAGCCCAUAUAAGUGGAUGGCUAAGGAAUAGGUGGAACCAAUAGCACCAUAUUGCUAGCUCUAGUGGAGUAGAGCUAGCUUAAAUAUGAAAGCCACACUCACUCACCAAGUCAUGGAUGAGAGGAGAGAGUGUGGAGAGCCACACGCGCGCGCGCUCGCUCGCCUCGCCUGGCCUGGCCGGGGCGGGGCGGGGCGAAGGGCGCGGGCGCACGACAUGCGCGUGAAUGGUCCGCCGAAAUCCGGCCCCUCGCCUUGCAGGGGCGCGGCUAUCUUUUGCCGUUUGAUUUUUUGGUUUCUUGGCUGUUACGCUUAUCCUAAUCGAUCGCUAUAAAAUCUCAACUGAUUGCGAGAUUUUCGUGGGUGGAUAAGCUUGGGGGUCGCGGACUCGGCCCUAUAUAAGGAGCCCGGCAGCCAGCCUCCAAAUCAUCCCAGUUUACCUUUCGCCUCUCUUCAUAGCUGAGCCGCCUUUUAGUUCUCUUCGUCCCGACCGCAGAGGUGCAUCUGCGAUCAGGAGAGCAGGUCUCCGGAACCCUUCGUCUUCUAGAUCCUGCACCGGGAGAGGGCGAAUAAGGUUUUUGGGAAGCGUCGUCACGCGACUGCUCGUGAUCUUCUGACCUCGUCGAUCCUGCUACUUCGACAUCGUCGACCCUGCUGAUUCCGGCGCGCGCCAUCUAUCAGUAAGUCUAAUCAGUGUGCAUCAUCUGAUUUGGCUUUUUUAUUUCAGUUCUUCUGAUUUGGUCAUGAUUUAUAUUCGGAAUUUAAUUUGGAAUUUGUCUAAUUAUUCAACACGAUGCAGCAGUAGAGUAACGCUAAACGGUAGCAGUGGUAGGAAAGAGGAUGGUUAGCGGGAAGCACUGCGGCCAGUCUUAUAGAGAUACUCUCCGAUGCCAGAAUUUACUUCUCUGCUCCCGUAACAAUACUGUCUUAGAUACAUAUGGUACCCUUAUGGUACCCUCAUGUUGACACUACAACUUUUUUAUAAAUUAUAAAAUAAUUAAUGAUACUUUAGAAUGUUUGUUAAGAAAAUACUACAAUAAUAUAUUAUGUGCGUUUGUGAAAUAUUGUACUUCCUCUGUCCCAAAAUAUAAUUUGUUUUAAACUAAUUACACAUUCAUUAUAUUUUAGACUAAUUACGCAUUCAUUAAGAAGGUAUUUGAAUGAACUAAAGCUAAUAGUUAGUGGCUAAAAUUAGUUGAGACAUCCAAAUACGGAAACACCUAGCUAAUAGUUCAGCUAUUAUUUAUUUUUGUAAAUUAGUUAAUAAUUAGAAAGAUAUUUAUUAGCUAGCUAAUUCCACUAACCAUUUUUAGCCAACUAACUAUUAGUUCUAUGUAUUCAAACAUCCUCUAAGUAAUAUAUGAAUGUAGGUUGCAUGUAUAUCUAUAUUCAUUAUCAUUUGAAUAAAUGUGGAUAGAAAAAAUAGACUAUAAGAGCAUCUCCAAGAGACUCUUUAUUUUUUAGUCUCCAUUUGACUCUUUAUUUGUCUCUUCAUAAAUAUUAAACUAUAUAUAUAACAUCUUAUUCCAACAGACUCUCCAAAAUGCAAUUUAGCUUGGCUAACGAGAAUUGCUAGCUAAAUUUGGCUAGUGAGGGAGUUAAUUUAGAGAGCCAUAUAGCUUAGCAAGUUAAAUGGCUACUCUGUUGAAGAGCUAUUAUGUUAUUAAUUAUCUAAAAUUUAGCUUGACAAGCUAUUUAGCUAGUUUCUUGGAGAUACUCUAAAGGACUCUAUUUUAAGACGGAGUGAGUAGUUAAAUAUAAGAGAUACGAUAUGGAUUCAAUCUACUUAACUUUAACUGGUUCUACUACCCAAUUCAAACAGUAAAUUAUACAUGUGGCAUUCGGCUUGCCGUAUGUUUUUUUUAAAACUCAACCCGUUUCGGUAGAUUGCAUAUAUAGCUGUCGAUCCAUAGAAUUGAUCCACGAGAAUUGCUUGCCCGUCGGAGGAAUGGUGAUAUGGUGCCGGCGAUUUGUGUGGUCCGUGGAUAGGUGGAUUUGGCCUCCGGUUCGUGAAUGCUGUUAGUCACUGUUUGGGAAUAAAGUUUUUAGAAAUUAUAGUUUUUUAAAUACUACGGUAUAUUUUAGUCAUAAUAAUAUUGUAGUUUAAAAUAUCACAGUUUUGAAAACUGAGAUCCACACAUAAGUUUAAAAUACCUUAAAACAACUACAGUAUUUGCAAUAUUUCAGUUUUGGAAACAGAAAUUUUAGCUAGCUUGCCAAACACCAUUAUGCAGUAUUUGAAAAUACUACAAUAUUCUUUCAAAACUGUGAAAAAACUUUACUUCCAAACAUCCCCUUAGUUAUCAGGUUCACGUGACAUUAAAUUGUCUUUAAAGAAGAGUAUAAUAGUAACUUUAAGGGCUAGUUUGCAAAUAUAAAUCUUCUUCGGAAUUUUCUUCUCGAUCUCCGGGAAUUCGAAAAGUUUUUCCAAACUAGUCUUAAUAGUAUCAAAACAACUCUCUAAAUCUUAAAUUUUAAAUUUAAGUAAACAACCAAUAAUUGUGUAAGUGUAAAUAGACUUCUAAAUUUAUUUAACACACUAUUUAACCUCAAUUGCUCUCUAAAUUUGGAGCUCGAUAGACACUCCUCAAACACAGUAGACACAAUUUCUUCACACCACAUGCUUAUUUUUUCCUUUCCCCCUUAAUGAUGUCGUUAUAUCUUUUCCUUUCCCCCUUAAUGAUGUCGUUAUAUCUGGCAUGCUCUUCUUUAUCCUUUUACACAUGGCGAGGAAGCCAGAUCGAACAUAAGUGACACAAGCUUGUCCUCCACUGUCGAACCGCUGCUAAUCCACAAAUCGUGUUGUCCGACCUUCUUUUCUGCCCCUAAUGUCCUCUGCUCUCGACCCUAUCGUCAACCAAAUUUGAUGGGAGCAGGCCCGCUCCUCUGCCACCAAGACAGCUCUGACACAUCGCCAGACGACCAAGUCUUUUCCUCUGUAGUUGAACUCCUUGGUACCCAACCCCGCCGCCAAGCCAGGUGUGACGCCCUGCUAGGUCCAACGCGUCGGCUCAAGGUUCGCCUCCUCCUACAUUUUCGAUGUAGCAGAUAGGUAUAAGGGGCUAACCAUUACUAGCUCCUAGAAGACAUCGAAUGCAGCUAUGAUUAGUUCCAGCUUAUUACGUUCAAUGGAGUUGUUGCAGGCUGUCGACGCUCACAACGCUGCUAGGGAAAGGCAGGCCGUCAGAGAGACGAAGUCUUGAUCUGAUCCUUCGCUAACGCAUGUAACUCCAUAAAAAUUGGGUUGCCAAAACUGGAUUCAAAAUUGAACUACUCUUUAAAUAUUAAGAACUAUUAGAUACCAAACUAUUUUUUUACUCUCAAUAGCUAUUUAGUAACUUGCUAAACAUGAAUUUAGGGAGCUUUUUUAGAGAACUAUUGGAGUUGCUCUAAGUACCUAAAUAUGGAGAAGAUUUUUCUUUAUAGCUUUUAACAUUGUUAUCUAAAGCCUCAUCUAAAUAUAGAGGACACUAUAUCCUCUCUCUUUUAUAAUUUUUUUGUUACUAUACUUUAGACAAUAUAUGAAGUAAAAUUGAAGUACAUAUAAAAAUAUAUGAGGAUAUGAUAGAUAACGUAGAUAUGAAAAAUCAGAGCAAACUACUCCCCUAAUAUAGAUCUUUGUCGUAUAGAGAAUAAGAUAUAGAAGAUGUUGUUAGAGAGAAAUGAUAUAUAUAUAUAUAUAGUUUAUAUAUUAAGAGCCCUGGGCUUCCAAUAAUAGAGGAAGUCCAGGCUAGUCAAUAUGCACAUUUGGUUGAACCAGACCUGGUCAGCAAUUACACUGUCACGGUGCUAUUAUCCCUGUGUCUCCGUCAGCCCAGCACACGUCUCCCCCGUUUCCCGGUUUCCAAAACCGUCAUCACGCAAUCAAAAGAGAGAAACCCGCGCGAGUCCGGGAUUACAGCUUCUGCAUCCGCCGAAUAGGAAGGAAACCCCGUAACCCCUGCGUCCGAGGCGACUUCCCCUGGAAACCCCGUAACCCAUGCGGUCGAGGCGACUUGCCAGUCGAUUUCCGCCGCUCCAAUCCAGCUGCGCUCCUUCAAUCUCCGAACAUUGGAGCCCGAUUGAACAGCCAUUUCUUUCCCGAGAAGUUCCAGGUAAUCCAUCCAACUUGAAAUACAUCGAGGUUUCCGUCGAUUCUUGAAGCUUUUUUGUCGAUUUGAAGUCGGUUUGAUUGUUUCCCUUAGUUUGUAGUUGUGUGUGAUUUGUAUCCGAUUAUACAUUUCUCUAAUCGGCUCAUUUGCAUCGCUCAUUGCAUCUCUCUUUGGUUCAGGAGCUCUGAUUUUAGAGCAUCUGUAUUUCUUAUAGAUCCGUUGUAUCGCUCGGCAUUCAAAGACCUAGGCAAAGGCUCCGGUUCAGGUAUUUAUUCAUGAGUUUGCAGAGAGUAAUUUUUACACAAUAUUAGUAACACGUAUAUGCUUAUUGGUAUUGAUAUAUAUGCACAUCGUCAGUACUGUUUAUGCACAUUUGUACAUAUGUUUAUGAACAUUGGUCAAGAUAUUAUGCACAAUUGUAUUGUUCUAUCUACUUGAAUCAUUAGUUUACACACCUAUUGUACUAUAUAUAAAUACAUACAGAUACUAUUAUUUAUGCAAUAGUUAUUUAAAUAUUCAUGUUUGUGUAUCAGCUAAAUGUGUAUAUUAUUAUGAACCCGUUAUUAAAAUAUGUUGUACAGUUAGUUGAUGCAAAAUAGACACUUAUUUUAUCAUGCACCCAUUACAAUUAUAUGAAAUAUUAAAUUAAUCUUUAUGUUUGUAUAUAACCAUGGUUCAUUAAAUGUUGUCAUAUAAAUGGAAAAGGCAGUUUAAGUUAUGUAACUCCAUUUAGUAUUAUGUAGUAUGCAUUGUAGAUAAUUAUAGACAACAUUCGAUUUUUUUGGCAUAUAUUCAUGCAUAAAUCAUUGUAUUUAAAAACAAUAUUUUUUGCAACAGAUAUAUUUAGUGUUUAACCAUGAGAUCUGUUGAUCGCCCUCCAACUAAUGCAAAAAGAUUAACGAUUGAGUCAAGUCAAGAGGUUUUUUCCGUUGACAUUUCAAGACGAACUCGAUCUAGCAGUUCAACACAUCAUGCUGAUAAUCCACAUAUCCAGCAACAGACUGAUCCACAACCAGUACCAGUUCAUCGUGUCCGUAGAAAGGCACUAGCUUGUCGUGUAAAAAAAAUCCUCCUUCAGCUCCAUCCACAUUGUCCGAUGAUGAUUUCAUGGAUGUUCCAACUUUGAAGCGCCAAUUCAGAUCAGCUGCACAUUCCCCUUAAGAAAAAAAACCGUGCAAAGAAGAUAAAAGUCCCUUCCCCACAAGUUCCGAUUCUGACAAGCAGAUCAAAGUUUGAUAUAGAUGUCAAGUCAAAUAUCAUUACAAAAACAAGCUCUCCUAAACAGAGGACACCUAGAAAAUCCCAGGCACUAUGUAUAUAUUUCUGGUUAUUUAUGUGUUAAUUUUGGUGCACAAUCAAUGUUGUAUUACCCCCAUGUUACAUUUUUAUAUAUUAUUAUUUUUGGUAUGUUGUUUAUUUUGUUAGUGUUUUAGACUUUAGUUAUUUACAAUCAUCUAAUAAAUAUCACUUGUAUGUAUAUAUAGUAUCCUUAGUUAUAACAAUAUAUAUACAUUGUGUAUUAAUGCAUAUUCAUUUAUGCUUUUAGAAAUUGAAUAUCCAUUGCAUUCCUUAUGAUGUCAUUGUCUCAACUUGGAUAAUGAGCGAUCGACAGCGGGAUGCUGUUGCUAGGUUUGGAUUUUCCAGUAUAGUUGAUUUGCGUUCUGAUGCCUUAGAGAGCAGAUCUCUCAUAAGGUGGUUGAUGGAUAAGUUGGAUCCAGAUAACAUAACAAUAUGCCCAGGGGCUGGCAAGGAACUGAAGAUAACAAAAGAGACGGUUCGUCUUAUUUUGGGAUUACCAAGUGCUGGAGGGGGCAGGGAGUUCACUGAUUAGUAUGGUGAAGUGGACGUUGCUGCAAAACUGAGACGUGAUCUCAAAAUUUGUAAAGAAGAGUUUGAUGUUGUCAAGCUUCAGGACAAGAUAGUGCUUGGCAAUGAUGAUGAUGAGUUAUCAAUGAGAUGUUUUUUUCUGAUUUUAUUCAAUCGACUUAUUUUCCCAUCUGCUUCAUGGGGCAUUACGAACAAUGAGGUACUAAUGACAUCAAACAUGGCCCGGAUGGCUGAUAUUGAUUGGUGUCAACUAGUUUAUACUGAUUUGUGUGAUGCUGCCAGUCAUUGGCACAAGAGGAACAAAACAAACAUUACAACAACAAUAUAUGGAUGUUCACUCAUUGUUCUUGUAAGUAAUUCUCUGUUUACCAAGCAUAUAUAUGAUAAGCAAAUAUUUGUUUUGUACUAAUUAUAUAUGAUUUGUUUUAUUUUUUGUUCAGAUAUACUAUCUUGAUCACUUACACCACCCUGCAUCACCUGACAACAAAUAUGGUACUCCCCGCAUUAAGUUUUUUUGAUAAUGAGACAAUAAGAGAUUUGGCUAGGGGUGACAGACGUCCCCCCGUAAAAUUGGUGAACCAUUCGGUCAUGCAGAGGUUAGACAUAAACAUUUUUUCCUGUUAUGUAGAUGUUACAAUUCCAAUAACUGCUAACAGUUAUAACUUGGCUUUAUACAGUUUUAUAGCCGUUCAGAAACAUGUUAUGUCAUUCCACCAGAACGGCCGGUUUCUGACGUAUUCAACAUAUAUGCCACGCAUCAAGCAUUUGAUUGGCAACAAGCUGAAAUGUCUGCCCUCCCAGCAUCGACCAAUGUUCGAAUCAAUGUUUGAUGCGCAUGACAAGGAGGUGGAUAAGUACUGUGAUUCUCUUUAGCAGAGCCAUCAGAUGCUUGUUUCUAAGCAGAUUGAACUAUCUAAGAUCUUUGGUGAAAUGAUCGAUGAAGUUCUAAGGGCUGCCACGUAGCGUGAUACUCAGCAAGAAGGUAUUAAUAGUUAUGUUUAUUUUUUAAAAAAUUAAUUAAGCUCACGGAUAAUUAAAACUAAAGUUGUAUUUAGCUAUACGAUUUCAAAUACUUUAUUUUAUGCAACAUAGUAUAUAUUACUUAUGCAUUCAUUUGCACUAAUACAUAACCAACACCUUUCAGUUGAUUUUAUUUUGAAAACUCUCAUUUAUUUUAUGCACCCCGAUAGUAUAUUGAUGUAGUUUGUGCUAAUAUGUAUGUUUAACCAUUAUUUUUAUUACUCUACAUUUAUAUUUCUGGUUCAUUUCAGCAACAACUAAUUUAUUAUUUUAUUGUCCAAAUGUAGAUAUCCCACCCACUACCUCAAUGCCCCAGACAAAUGCUCAUGUAUCCACUCCUCCUGUUCGAACCCCUGAUCAUCAGCAACACGAUCAGGAAAUACAUGUUCCUACUGAUGAUAACAAAGUAUCAGAAUAGGUAAGUUUUUUCAUACAAACUUUAUAUAUUAAUCAUAUAUUAAACAUAUCAUACAAGUUAUCAUUUACACCAAUUUCAUAUGUUUCCAUUACAGGUUGUCAGUGGAAACGUUUGUGAAAAAGAUUUAGUUAUGGAUGUCCCAAUAUUUGACAAGACUCCAAAAUCAAAUGUUUGUUUUACUUUAUUCCCAAUGAUUAUACUUUCAAUUACAAUUUAUGAUAGUAACAAUAAUAUAGAUGCAUGUUUUUAUUUAUUUUCUUCACUAGGCUCCCACAACCGACAAGUGUGCUGUUUCUGAAUUAACACCACCCAUAAAUAUUGUCAGUAUUUAUUUCUUCAUCAUAUUAUGUUAAUAUUAGUCAUAACCUAUGCUUGAUUUCGUAUAUAUUAAUAAUUUUAUUGUUUUUCAUGAAGGACAAAAUACUGUUAAACAUGAUACUCCCACAUCUGGUGCACCACAGUUUGACAGAAUCCCAUUAACAGAAGUUAGUCAUGUCGUGUCAUCUUCUUAUAUUUUUAUAUAUGUACACUACAAUACAUAAUUAUUUAUGCCAUUGAUUACUAACAAAUAUAUAUAUUAGGCAACUACUGAACUUGUUGCAAGGGAUAUUUUCCUCUAAAUCUGCAGUUGCUAAACCUCCCCACGUAUCACGUGAAGAAUGUGCUUGCCAACUAUUUAAGUUCAUUUGUUCAGGACAACUAGAUCCGAGCAUGUAUGUAUUCGUUAUUCAAACUUCAAUUAAGUAUAAUUAGAUGAUUUGUAAUUCAAGUUUCAUUUUUUCCGGGGUCUAUCAUUGAUUUUAGAGGAUAUGGUGGUUCUGUCCUGGAUGUUGUCCAAUCGUUUGGCCCUAAUAAAUGCCUUGAGAACUUUUUCAUGCACGGAUUUAUUGACUGUAUUCGUGAUGAUGAUUUAUUAUACAAUCCAGAUACCAUAAGCAACACACCCAUACUAAAUGUCAAUGUUGGGGGUUUUUUCCUCUUCAACUUUGUAUCAUGUUUCAAUCCUUAGUGUAUAAAUAUAUAGUAUUAAUCAAUAUAUUUUUUGUGCAGACUGUUUUGAAUAUCGAGGAGUUCGAACAACACAGUACAAAUCCACAGCCCUUCUGAACAUCAGUUCUUAAAGAAAAACUAGAACCGACGCUUCCUCCAGAUGAAGUUCUGGACCAAAUUAAAUUGGUGAGCCCCAAUCAGUAUUAUUUGUAUGAAUAUUUUAAUAUUCAUUUGGUCAUAAGUUAUAUUUUACGUUAUCUUUAUUUUUCCAUAGACACAUUAUUGUUCAUUCAUAACCUUAUACAUAUAUGUUAACAGAUCAUGGUUCCUAUGCUACGCCGUAGUCACUGGACCCUUUAUGCAAUCAACUUUCAACUUCGUCGAAUAGACAUUUUAGAUUCAAAUCCUUAUGGGCCAUUGCUUGGAUGCACUUCCUGGAAACAAAUCUACAAUGAUCAAUUGUUGAUAAAUGGAACGAAAAUACCUUGGUCCAGAUUAAUAAUGAGAAGACUUAGCAUUGCGUUACAUGAAGCUCGACUAGAUUCUAGUUUAGCGAAGUUUGGCAACUACAAGAUUGGGCUUCUUCCCAAUUGUCCAACCAUGUUACCUGGGUCAAAUGAUUGUGGUUUUUUGUCGCAAACUUCUUCCGAUGCUACGAUUUUUAUGAUGGCGACAUAUCAGAAUUUGUUGUACCGGUAUGUUACUAAAUUAGUGUUUUGAUCAUGCAUAUAUUACUCCUUCAUACAUCUUCUUAGCAUUAAUUCAACUAUUAUGACUAUUUCAGGAUGAAUCAUUGGACCAACGUGCUUUUGUUCUGCAUUACCUGACCUUUGAUCGCAACAACAGGGUUUACUCCUUCCCUGCAGAACUGAUGCCUUUCAAGUAUGUUCCAAGGAAACGUCGUUGUUUGAAAGCCAAGACUUAGAUAUCAUAGCUAAACAAGAUUCCCUCUGGGAUCCCUAAACUGUUUAUGUUACUUCUUAAGGCACUUAUGUCAAGUGUUGCUCAUUUGUAUGAUACUCCCCAUGACACUUAUGUUUAUUGUGUCCAGUGUUUAUGCUACUUCAUAUCAGUACUUAUUUCAAGUGUGUAAAACAGAAGUGGUACCAGAAUUUCUAGUUAUGUUAUCUGUGAUGAACUUCUAUGCCAUUCAUGUCCAGAUUGUCAGAUUGUUAAUCGUUUUCGUCCAAUGUUUGUCGUAUUUCUAUUAUCAUAUUAUCCUUAAUAUUCAAGUUUUAUGCAACAUAUAUACUUCCAUAUAUUAUAUACAUUAGGUUCCUUUUACAAAUUUACCAUGUUAAUUAUGCUCACUGUGUCCAGUGUCUAUGCUACUACAUUUCUGGUUUAUAUGAAGUGUGAAACCCGAAGUUUAUAUUAUUUAGUAACUCCAUCCUUUCCCCUGAAGCUCUUAUCAAUUCUUUCAAACGAUACAUCUUUUCUUGAUGAGAUAGUGUACCUUUGCAAUAUAUACUUUGAAUGUAUCUUUUCAACUUGUAGAUGCAUAAAGGCUCUUAAAAGAUGAACACAUAAUAGACCUGAAAUCAUGAAGACCAACCAUUAUUUUUUUAAUGAUAAACAUUAAUUUGUACUACAAUCAACAAAUUAUAUAAUAUGCAAUUUUAUUCUUUUAAUCAAGACAAUAUGUACAAACCUGUAUGUUUCCACUGUUUGCACUCGCAUGUAUACUCUCCAUCUUCUAUGUCCGUUGUUAUCUUGAAUUGAUGUUGCCCCCACACAAUUUUAUUAGAUCUUUUUGUAUGUUGUACGAUCCAAUCUUUAUCACAACCAUCUGUGUUCUUCAAUAUUCUGUAUGCAGUGGCGUAUUUCAUUGAUUCCUCAAAUCUAUUCAUAACAGCUCUGGUGUAUGCCCUAGAGACUCUCACUUCGAACCUAUACAAUGUAUCUGUUGUCCUAGGUCCCUAUAAGACGUUAAUAUCAUAAUUAAACAACGUAUUUACAUAAACAUGUAUGCCAUACAUUAUUGAUAACAAACACGACAUACCUUGCUCAUCAAUGCCUUCUUUGAUUCUUUCAUUUUCCUUCUAUGCAAUAUUUUCAUCAUUUGUUUAGCGAACUAAUGCAGAGGGGUGUUCGCAUCUACAUGUGAUUGCUUCACUAAUCUGUUCAUGCUCUCACUUCGUUGUGUAGACACCAUUACCCCACAGAAGUCAUUUUUAAAAAAUACUGGUAUCCAUUCUUUCCUUAUUUCAUAUAAUUUGUGUAGAGUCAUAUCUUCAUGCAGAUUGAAUUCUUCUAGCAUCAUUUCCCAGGCACAUUCAAACUCAUGAGGAGUUAAUGGAUGAUGUAUAAUAGAUUUGUAGUACCCAAAAUUUAUAAAGACUUCUCUUUAAAUUAUGAAAUUAUGUUAUUUCCAUGUUUAUUUGAAUUCAUAUUUAUAAGUAUUAUGUGCUUAAAAAAAUUAAUAAAUUAAAAUAGAACUUGAAUUCAUGUUUUUUUGCUGUAAUUAAAUUAAAUUCAAGAAAAAGAAAAAAAACUAGAAUUAAGAAAAGAAAAAAAAGAAGAAAUACUCACAUGGGCUGAAUUCAUUCCGUGCGACCUGUAUAGUAGUAGUAUCUUGAGGACCUCGCAUGCUUGGCAUCAGUGUUAAAAAAAACCUCCGCGGUGACGCAUAAUUAAACGCCAAACCCUUUUAGUUUGUCUCUAAUUGCAUGCAUCUGUUCUGUGUCAUCUUUAAAUCAAGUUGUUGUUUGCUUUAAUGUACGUGUGUGUAUUUUUUUCCCCUUGAUAAAGAGAGCCAGCUAGCAAGUAGGCAUUCCAGUAUUAUUCUUCCAUCGUAGUACUCUGGGCAAACAAACUGCUCCUUCAAAGCAAGUACGAUCUGUGUUGUUCUUGAAGCUAAUGGCAGGAGAUGCAUGCAUGCCUACGUGAGAAGGGAAAACUCACGUAGCAAGCCUCCAUGGUGAAUGGCUCGAGCCAAAAAAAAAUAGGAAGAAUCAAACAGAAACGGCGGCCGAAACAAACUUACCCAGAAAAUCACGUAAUGACCGCCCAGACUCUUUCCAUCGUCGUUUCCUAACCUUUCGGGCGUAACAAACCUCACCCAUAUCUUGUGGACCCAGUCGGACUCCUCUCUCUCGCGUAACAAACCCACCGCGUCGUCCGCCACUAUCUCUGUCGCACGCACUUGGGAUAAUCGGUGUCUGGUGUGUGGGGCCGGAAUGACAGAAUCGCCUCCCUCCUUAUCCCUUCCAGCGAAACGGAUGCCGAAGUCCUCGGCCACGCGAUCGUCCGUGGACCCCCUUCUAAACUGGCUGCCUGGAUGUAUAUAUAGACCCGUCCGCAGCGUCCUCUAGCCAUUGGAGUGAGUUGGGGUAGCUAGCCGUGAGAGAAAAGUCACCAGAACCGAAGAACGGUGCGGGCUGCGUGGGCAUCCGGUGUCUGCGGCGUCAUCGGGACGUCAAUGUGGUGUUCCUGCUGCGCGCUACUGAGGACGCGCAGCGCUUCGUCGGCAUAUUCGCGGUGGCCAUGGACGGGAUCAUGCCGGAGCCCGCGGUGGCGUACACCAUCGACGAGGUCCCGAGACCCCCCUCAACCAUCGAUGGCCCAGCGAACGCCAUGAAUGGCGCUCUGCUCUCCGACGUUCGACUGCCAAAACACACGGCCGCAUGACCCACAGUAGAGAUUUUCCCCCAUACAGUUCUCCCUAUUUGGCUUCUCUACGUACAUCACUUGCUCUGCAUGAUCGGGUGUUGGGGGCGUCGGAAUUUCGCCUUCUGGCGAUGGAGCCGCCGUUGGGUUCCUGAGCGCCGCUGUGUGGUUCGUCGGGGAGAGAGAAAAUGAGAGUGAAGGUUGCCGUGACCGUUGGAUCGAUUGCGGAUGGCCAGGAUUAGAUCGUCACCCUAUAGUAGGUCUGAACGCCGUGGAUCGUUGAUUCGUGAAUCUAGGGCUCGGAUUAGAUUAGGGAUACCCUUCGGUGGGAUCAUCUCGGAUCGUCCGAUCGGGAUCGCGUGGCACAGACUCGAUCUCGACUGUUUUAAAUCGGAUCCGUUGUUUCCUGAUCGUGUGGCUCCUGUUGAUUGAUACCCAUUCGUUGUAGUGUAUUAAUAUAUGAACCCUUGGGCUUUUGGGAAAUAAACCCGCAGUACUACUCGGGGUUGUUGUGUCUAGGGAAUCUUUCGAGUUAGCCCUCGGCCUUUCAUAUAUUCAUGCGCGCAAUCCAGGAAAUGGGAAAAUUAAUAUUAGAAAUUGAAUUUAAUAAAAAAACAAAUCUAGAAACUUGUAUAAUUCAUAGAAAAUUCAUAUUAGGCCCAAAUUGGUCCAUUCCAGUUCCUAUAAUUUUGUAAUAUUAUGGUUUAUCAUCUAGUACCACUGUUUUCACAUGAAAACCACAUUAAAAUUAAUAUCCUGAUUAAUCUUUUAUCCAACACUUGAAACUUUGUAAAUCUAUAACUUCUUCGUCUUAAUUCCGAUUUGGGCCGUUCCAGUUGCGUUAGUAUCGUAUGAAUAUUUACUAUACAAUAACAACAUUUAGUAUACCAUGUCUCAUUCUUUAAUAAUUAGACAUUUAUUUAACUUAUAUGUUGAUUAGUUUGUUAAGCUGCUUAUUAAUGCAAUAGAAGAUGAUUUAUGGUAAAUUUAUAACUUAGAGAUAAUUAUUUAUAGAAUGACCUCUCAUAUGAUUUAUAUUAACCAAAUUAUAAUAUAGUUUAAUAUUUUAAUCAAACCGAUCUUUUAUAAAAUUUUAACUCCUUAAUCGUAACUUCGAUCUUAGUAGUUCUCGAUCCCACGAUCUCGUAGCACGUGUAGAUCAUUAUUAUUCAGUUUGUUCUUAUGUUUGGUGUGAUGUUAAUUUAGUCUAUACCAUGUCUGUUUGUAUUGCUACGACUAGCGCGAGGUUACGAGGAUCUGAAGAAUCACCCUGGUAAUUGGCAUCUCAAGUCCCAGGCAAGUUGUGCCCUUGUCCACUUUGUACCCAAUAAUGUUCUUUAUAAUCAUUUACCAUGCAUAGGUUUAAUUUUGAUGGGACCCAAUAGGUCACCCUAGUUUGUUUGUCCUGAAUACCUUGUUUACCCCUGAAUCACUUGGGUAGUUCUGCUACUGCUUUAUAUGGUUUUGGGUUAAUAUUUCAUUAUAUCUAUGUUCCAAUUAUGUUGUUAUUUUAUUUAUGUUCGCAUGGGCAUAAGCCACAGCCUGCUCAAGCCUUCGGACAACCCACUGUAUGGCUUCGGCGGCAAGGGCACGUUUCCCGUCGGCAAAAUAGAGUUGCCUCUCUCCUUCGGUGUAGCACCCAAUGCCCGAAGUGAGCAAGUGACCUUCGAUAUCGUCGAUAUGGUGUAUCCAUACAACGCCAUUAUGGGCCGGGGCUCCAUCAACAAGUUUGAGGCAGCCAUUCAUGGACUUUACCUGUGCAUGAAGAUACCAGGUCCGCUAGGCGCCAUCACGGUCUACGGCAACCAGCAGACUGCGCGAAACAUAGAGCGGGACUUCGUCCCCAGGCAAAGAAACGUGCACUGCCUCACGGCCCAACGCGAGGUCCCCGCGUCCGCCAGCCCAACUGACAAAGAGCACGACAAAGCACAGCUACAGAGAAACGACGGGACCAAGACUGUUCCCCUCGACCAGGCCACGCCCAAGCAGACGGUCACCAUCAGCGAAGACCUCACUUCGCAUGACGAGGAUAAACUCCUCUGCUGUUUGUCCAAGAACAAAGACGUCUUCGCCUGGUCUGCCCUCGACCUAGUCGGGGUCAGUCGCUCCAUCAUCGAGCACAGCUUGGGAAUCGACCCUUCGGUGAGACCGAAAAAACAACGGCUCCGCAAAAUGUCUAAUGAGAAAACAGAAGCCGCCAAGGCCGAGGUACAUCACCUCCUGGAGGCCAAAUUUAUCGAGUUUGUGGCCUACCCCACAUGGCUCGCCAACGUUGUGAUGGUGCAGAAAAAGAGCGGCAAAUGGCGGAUGUGCAUCGAUUUCACCAGUCUCAACAAGGCCUGCCCAAAGGACAACUUCCCGUUGCCUCGGAUCGACAAAAUAGUCGAUAGCGCGGCCGGGUGCGAAGUCAUGUCACUUCUCGACUGCUUCUCCGGUUACCAUCAAAUAUACAUGAAGGAGGAGGACAAGGCCAGCACCAGCUUCAUAACACCCUUCGGCACGUAUUGCUUCAUCAGAAUGCCGGAGGGACUCAAGAACGCCGGGUCCACUUUCUCCCGGCUUACCAAAACGGUGCUCGAGGGGCAAGUCGGCAGAAAUAUAUUCACGUAUGUGGACGACAUCGUCGUCGCCAGCAGAAGCAAGGAGGAUCAUCUUGCUGACCUCGCCGAAACGUUUGCGAACAUGCGGGACGCACGACUUCGCCUAAACCCCGAAAAGUGCGUCUUCGGCGUUCGCCAGGGGAAAAUAUUGGGCUACCUGGUGUCACACCGCGGAAUCAAGGCCAACCCAACCAAAAUUCAGGCCAUCAUCAACAUGACGCCCCCGCAGUCAGCCAGAGACGUCCAGCGCCUGAUAGGCAGAUUGGCCGCCCUCAAUAGAUUCAUCUCCAAGUCCGCAGAGCGAAGUCUCCCCUUCCUCAAAACUCUCUGCGGCGCAAAAGACUUCGCUUGGGGACCAGAGCAGGCGGCGGCCUUCGCCUCAUUAAAACAGUACCUAUCGGAAUUGGCAGUUCUUACAAGCCCCGACUCUUUGCUACCCCUGUUGCUUUAUGUUGCGGCUUCACCGCAUGCGGUCAGCGCGGCACUGGUUCAGGAGCAGACAGUAGAGGGCGUGAUCAGGCAAUGUACAGUUUAUUACGUCUCUGAAGUUCUCACACCAUCAAAAUGUAAUAUGACGGAACUGGAAAAGAUAGCCAAUGCAGUUGUUAUGGCUCCGCGCAAAUUGCGCCACUAUUUUUAAGCAUUCAAGGUCCGGGUCACCUCAGAUAGGGGACUCGACGAAUUGUUCAGAAACCCAGAGGCAUCGAUCAGGAUUGCCAAAUGGGCGGCCGAACUCUCCGGCUACCACAUCACGUUCGAGCCCAGGACAGCCAUCAAGUCACAAGUUCUGGCAGACUUCGUCGUCGACUGGACUGGGCCAAUAACACAGCCGGACCCGUCCGCAGAGAAGGUUUGGACAGUCCAUUGCGACGGCGCUUGGUGCCACGCGGGGGCAGGCGCUGCUGCAGUCAUUACCUCACCCGCCGGGGUCAAGCACAGAUACGCGGCACGCCUCAGCUUUGCUCUGGAAUCUGACAGAUGCACUAACAACAUAGCAGAAUACGAAGUUGUCAUCCUCGGCCUCCGCAAACUAAGGGCCCUUGGUGUCACCACCUGCAUUAUCAGAACAGACUCCAAGGUAGUCGCCGGCCAAGUCGAGAAAGACUAUGCAGCAAAGGACCCCGCACUUAUGCAAUACCUCGCGGCUAUCCGUAGUCUCGAGAGACAAUUCAAGGGUUUCACCUUGCAGCAUGUGGACCGGGCCAAGAAUGAGGAGGCCGACGCAUUGGCCAAGGCUGCCGCCAGAGGCGAUUCCCUGCCCUCCGACGUGUUCUACCAUGUUAUCGGCACGCCAGCCAUCCGUAGCCCCGAAGGGCUCCAAAUAACCAAUGACAGCGAGGGCCACCGCAUAGUCAACCUUAUUAUGACCGAAGACUGGCGGGCACCAAUAACCCUGUUUCUACAGGGGUACUACCAUCCAACCGACAUCAACGAGGCCAAGCACCUCAAACAUCGAAGCCGGGACUUCGCGCUGAUUGAAGGCCAGCUUUACAAGAAUGGGGUCAGUCAACCAAUGCUUAAAUGUGUCACCGAGACCGAAGGCGUCCAAAUCCUGCGCGAAGUCCACAGCGGUACUUGCGGCUCUCACGCAGGGCCAAGGGCCCUAGCCGCAAAGGUGAUCCGUCAAGGUUUCUACUGGCCCGCAAUGAUCUGCGUCGCAAAUCGGGUCACAAGGUCCUGCGAAGCCUGCCAGAAGUUUUCUCCUCGAUCAGGUAGCCCUUCGCAAUUCACAAAACUCAUCGCCCACACAUGGCCUCUCCAGCGCUGGGGCCUGGACAUUGUCGGGCCCCUGCCCACGGCUCAGGGGAACCUCAAGUUCACCUUCGUUGCUGUCGAGUAUUUUACCAAAUGGAUCGAGGCGAGGGCUGUAUCCACAAUAACAUCAAAGACUGCACAGAAAUUCUUCUGGCAAAACAUCGUUUGCCGCUUCGGAGUACCGUCCGAACUCACAGUUGACAAUGGCAAGCAGUUUGACAGCCAAGACUUCAAGGAUUUCUGCUUCUCCAUUGGCACCAAGCUUGCCUUCGCCUCAGUAUACCACCCGCAGUCCAACGGAGUUGUGGAAUGCGCAAAUGGCAAAAUUUUCACAGCUGUCAAGAAGAUGCUCCUCGACGAGAAAAAGGGCAAGUGGGCUGAUUUAUUACCUGAAGCGGUCUGGGCGCUAAACACGACUGAGUGCAGGGCGACCGGGUUCACCCCUUUCCGCCUUCUAUAUGGAUCGGAGGCCAUGACCCCGCAAGAAAUAAAACAUGGGUCCCCACGGACAGUCUCGUUAGCUGUCCCCGACGUGGACGAACCCACUUCGAAGGAUCUCAUCGAUGGAGACCGCGUCUUCGCCCUACAGGCUCUAAAUAAAUACCAAGCCCAAACAAAAGUAUGGUGUGACCACGCAGUCAUCCCGAGGAAAUUCAGCGAAGGGGACCUCGUACUCGUCCGAACAGCUCGGACAGAGUCCAGGGGCAAGCUGGAGCCCAAGUGGGAGGGCCCUUUCAUCGUCAAGAUGAAGGCAUCCCCCAGCGCAUACAGGCUCGCAACGCCAUCCCGCGAGGACUUGGAGCAUUCCUGGAACAUUGAUAAUCUCCACAGAUUUUUUGUUUGACUCAUCAGGGCCAGCUCGCCCUUGUAAUUCGCAAAAACAAUUUUAUUCUGGCCCGCACUUUUUUCCUCCCAGGGGGUGAGGUUUUUAACGAGGCGGAGUCAUGUAAUAUACAAGUGAAAAAUCCCCCGCAAAAAUCUACGUCGAAAAAAGACCGCGCCGACGGUCUUCGACAUUCGACCAAUACAAAGUCACCGCGAGGGGCAGCGCUAGCUACCCUCGCGUGCGACACUCCGUGCAAAAGUCGCCUAAGGGUGCAGCCGGACCAGCACAACAAGUGCGCAAAAUCGAAGUCUUCCUCAAAAAGACUAUCCGUGCAAAAGUAGCCUAAGGGUGCAGCCGGACCAGCACAACAAGUGCGAAAAAUCGAAGUCUUCCUCAAAAAGACUAUCCGUGCAAAAGUCGCCUAAGGGUGCAGCCGGACCAGCACAACAAGUGCGAAAAAUCGAAGUCUUCCUCAAAAAGACUAUCCGUGCAAAACUCGCCUAAGGGUGCAGCCGGACUAGCACAACAAGUGCGAAAAAUCGAAGUCUUCCUCAAAAGACUACUCGCGCUAAACCCUACACCAAACUGUCCGCGCAAAGACCGACUACAGGCGCGCCGGACUGACAUAAUAAACACACUAGACCAAGUGCGCAACGCCUUUAUGAGCAUAGCCGGAUGCGCGAAGGCGCACAGCCUCAUCAUACAAGCUAUAGUUACAUAUGUACAACGAGGGCAUCACACCUUACAUCGGUUCAACCUUCGGAAUGAUUCCCAUCUUCCUAUAGUUAAAUGGCAUUAUCCUCAGCUCCUCACCCUCAAAAAGACUUCGCAGCUCCCCCUCACCCACACUCGCAACGGCCGGCGAGGACAACAAUUCCUGCUUGCCAGCCCUGCCCACACGAAGCCGACCGCCGUCCGCCUCACUCACUCUACGCUUCGCAACCGCCCUUCACCGCCUACGCCCAGCACUCGGACCAGGCACAACUUCAGCAUCCGCAGCACACGGCGAAGCCUCCGCCACUGCCACAUCCAAGGCCGCAAAGUAAUCCAAGUCUUCAUCCGAUGACUCUUCCGUCCACUCAACCGAACUCCCAGAGUCACCAAAAUCAGAAAACUUAGAGUCAGACUCAUCCGAUUCAUUCCCAGCAUCCACGGUCGAAGCCGCCACAAAAUUAGCAGUAGCGGUUGCGUGCGCAGGCCCAAAAUCUUGAACCUGCGCAGCAACCAAGGUUCAGCAUCAUAGACAAAAAUCUCUAACUACCCACACCCACUAAGACACCUGCGAAGGCCCAGCAGCCGUGGGAUCCUCCGCUGCUGGCUCCGUCGCCGUCUUCGGGGGAUCCUCAGCCCUCGGCACAGCGGUUGGCGACGAGCCACCGCCGGACGUAGUAGCCGCAGGGGCAGCGAGGGAGCCUUCGCCGGUUUCCGGGGGCGGCGCCAGGACGACCUCAGCCUCGGCUGUCACCGGGUUCUCCUCGGCUUCGAACCGCGCGUUGUUCAAAGAUCCGAAGUCCUCCACGGUCUCGGCACGCGCCGCCUAAAACACAGCACACCGAUUCAGCAAACCCACGUAUAACCCACAUCCAACAACACUAAACAAAAGACGAACAUUACCUGACCCCUCGCCCGGUCGGACCGCUCCCUAACCACCUCCCGACCGUGAGGGCCCCACAUCCGGUCAAAGAGGGCCCCCGCGGACUCCUUCACCACACGGUCCUCGACCUUGUAAAUCUCGCGCUCAAAAUCUUCAUCAGAUCGAUCGAAGACCUCAUAGUGGUUGCACCCUUCGCGGGACAGCGCGUUCAUCGCCCCUUCUCAGGUGACGAGGGAGGCAAAAGACAUAAAACCCUCCACAAUGGUCGGGAGCGCCAGCAACUCCUCUUGCAGCCACUCGAGGCAGCGAAGGCCCGACUCUCGGUCGGGCACUUCGAAGUCAGCGGUCCGCGCGCCCAGCUCGCGGUAUGAGUCCAUAAGCUAUUUGCGCGUCCGCUCAACUUCCGAGCGCGUAGAAGCCUCGGCCCUCUCCAUGCGGGCCUGCAGAGCGUUGAACCGCUCCUCCCAUUCCUCGGCGCGCUGGCUGGCGAGGCUACCCUCCACCCACGCCAAAUUGGCCUCCGCCUGCGCAGACUACGCCUUGGCGAGGGCCUGAUUAGCCUCCCUCCUCUCCUCCGCCAGCUGGCGCCGGAGGUCAGUCCUCUCGCCCUCCAGCGCGACCACCUUCUCCGCCAGCUUGCGGCACUUGCUAUCGACGGCCGACUUUUCCCGGACGGCGUCAGCAUGCUGCGCCCGAAGUCUCUCGACUUUGGCAGACACAACUACCGUAAGGGCCCCCGACGCCACACGGUCAGCGAAGUCAGCCGCCUAAAAGACACACAUAAGACCACAAUCCCAACGAAACCGGCAAAAACUGAAGUCUAGCUCAACUUACCUGACUUAGCUGCUGCGACGCCUCCUUCAGCCGGCGGGACACAACGCCCGCCUCGUCCUUGACGGCAGUGAGCGCCGGAAUCUCACCACCAGCGCUGAGAGCGCUACCCUUUGCCCCAGGCACCGCGGCAGACACCACGGUCGCCACCGCAGGCGGAACAACAACAAGUUGCCCCUCGCCCGAUCCUGCAACGUAUCAACAGUCAAAAAAACUUGGGCCAACGACUUACCAACGAGAUAAUCGUCCACUCUAAUAUCGGUGCCGAAGUCGGCAACGCGCUUCCCCGGCGAAGGCAAUUCUCGGGCCUUCGCGGCUCCAGCCAGGCAGACUUGGUUCCGCCGGCUCCGGCUGCCUUCACGACCUCCGGCACCUUGCUGGACCCAGGGCGGCCGACUUUGCCGCCAGCGUCGACUGGCUACCAUCGGGGGCGGCAGCCUUCGCAAUCCCCCGUGCCCUCUUCGGCCUAGCCUCGGGCAGCCUGAUGACCGCCCGACGCUUCUGCGCAGCUUCCUGACGAUCCUUCUCCAUCACUGCCGACACAACAGCAGCAAUAUUCCGUCCAUAAGGAAACACUCUCAUAUCACGAACCAUGCGAGAUGUAAAAAAGUCUUCGCCGGCCGCGCGGGGGAUCAGAACGUUCUUAGGCCACCAACCCCCGGUAACCUUCAGCAUCCGCGCCGAAGACUCCCGGAGCUCGGGCGAAGACAUCCUUCCCCCGGGGGCCGCGCAUGUCCCCAUCAACUCCAUAGCAAAACUAUCGGAGACCCCAAGUCCUCCCUUCGCAGUACCUAGCUUCCUCUUCUUGGAGGAUGGGGCGGCCACCGGCGCGGAGUCGUCUUCGGUCUCCGUCGCCGGUUUUUUUCCCACGGCGGUCGGCAACGUCUUGCCCGGGAUAACCGCCAUACGGCAGACGGUUCAACUCGAAGACCCUAUUCAAGCGAUCGUUGGAUCCGCGUAUAUCUCAACUACGCUGGGUCUCCGUCUUUGGCACAUAGCGACCAACAAUCCGCACCGCCCCAUCCUCCACCUCACGCACGAAUGCGGCGGGAUCUCGGCCAUGCAAAUCCAGUACGAAGGCGGGACUUUGCACCUGCAUCCCGCCACGGGAAGGCAUCUGGUGAGGGCAUACUUCGCCCAGCGCCUAGCCACGCGCCAAGGGCCACACCCCAUACGCGACAAACUCCUCAACCAGAUCGCGCCCGCUACUCAUGUCGGCCGCGCACCGCAGGGCCCCUUCGUCUGCAUCCUUCUCCGCCACUUCAAACUGCGGGUACGUUGAGUAAUAAUGCGAGCACAACUCGGCCACGGGGAGCCCUGGAUGGUCUUCGACUGUGCCCUCGUCAACGUAGAACCAAAACUCCCACUAGUUGCCCCAUUUAUUGCGGGCGCAGGGAACCAACUCAACAACUUCCAUCGAAGUCUUGCCGAUCUUCGACGUAAAUGUACAAGAUCCAAAUUGAGAAAUCUUAUUUCCGAUCAUCCUUUUCUGCCAAUGCAGACAAUAAUACUUCACGAAGACUUCGACCGAUGGCUGCCCGCCGUACGAAGUCAUUGCCCAGACAUAUUUUGAGAGGGCCACCACGGCAUUUGGUGUCAGCUGGUGGACCUGGACGUUGAAUCUACGCAGAACUUCUCCCACAAAUCGAUGCGCGGGCAAACGAAGUCCUUCGGCGAAGAAAGCCUCGAAGACAACCAACUCGCCUUCUGGCUCGAGGACCUCCUCCGCCCCGGGACACGUGCCACUCCGCUACCAAAAUAACCAAGUUGUUGCAUGUCUUGCACGCGGACCGAGGACAUCCACGACACACCGAACUCCACUGUGUCGCCGGCGCGCAACUCCUCCGCCGCCACAUUGCUCAGCGUCUCCUCGGACGACGCGUCGGCCGGCGGUGUAGCGGCAGCAGAAGAGGAAGAGGACGGCAUCGCUACGUACCGUCGGCGGUGGCGGGCGGUCUGCUUCACACGGGCCAGAUCUCCGACGAGCAAGAGCAAGGAGGGCAGACGAGCAGCGAGCGGUUUGAGAAGGCAGUUAGGGUUCUCGCAAAGCGUGGAAAGAAAAAGUUCAAAACGCGCCGCCCCCCGCCCCCUUUUAUACACAGGGCAUUCAAUUCUAGACACACCCAAGUGAUCAAAUCCUCUCCAAACUCCACACAACGCCCUAGUGAUUAGAGAGAGAGAUUUGCUUGUGUUCUUUCGAGCUCUUGCGCUUGGAUUGCUUUCUUCUUUCUUUGAUUCUUCAUUGCGAUCAAACUCACUUGUAAUUGAGGCAAGAGACACCAAUCUUGUGGUGGUCCUUGUGGGAACUUUGUGUUCCAAGUGAUUGAGAAGAAAAGCUCACUCGGUCCGAGGGAUCGUUUGAGAGAGGGAAAGGGUUGAAAGAGACCCGGUCUUUGUGACCACCUCAACGGGGAGUAGGUUUGCGAAAACCGAACCUCGGUAAAACAAAUCCACGUGUCACACUCCUUAUUCGCUUGCGAUUUGUUUUGCACCCUCUCUCGCGGACUCGAUUAUAUUUCUAACGCUAAUCCGGCUUGUAGUUGUGAUUAUUUUGAGGAUUUCAGUUUCGCCCUAUUCACCCCCCCUCUAGGCGACUUUCAAUUGGUAUCAGAGCCCGGUGCUUCAUUAGAGCCUAACCGCUCGAAGUGAUGUUAGAAGAACUCGCCAAGAAAGAGAUGGAGACCGGCGACAAGCCUGCUACAAGCCACGGGAAGGCUUCAUCGGAAGAGUCCCGCAACAAGGAGAAGAAGAAGGAGAAGAAGAGGGAGAAGAAGACUUCUUUUCACAAAUCGCAUCGAAGUGGCGACAAAAUAAAGAAGAUGAGGAAGGUGGUCUACUACGAGACCGACACUUCAUCACCUUCUACCUCCGGCUCCGACGCGCCCUCCAUAACUUCUAAGUGCCAUGAGCGCAAGAAGUUUAGUAAGAUCCCCUUACAUUAUCCUCGUACUUCUAGACAUACUCCAUUACUUUUCGUUCCAUUAGGCAAACCGCCAACCUUUGACGGUCAAGAUUAUGCUAGGUGGAGUGAUUUAAUGAAAUUUCAUCUAACCUCACUCCACAAAAGUAUAUGGAAUGUUGUUGAGUUUGGAGCACAGGUACCAUCUGUAGGGGAUGAGGAUUAUGAUGAGGACGAGGUGGCCCAAAUCGAGCACUUCAACUCCCAAGCCACAACCAUACUCCUCGCCUCUCUAAGUAGGGAGGAGUACAACAAGGUGCAAGGACUAAAAAGCGCCAAGGAAGUUUGGGACGUGCUCAAGACGGCGUACGAGGGUGAUGAACUCACCAAGAUCACCAAGCGGGAAACGAUCAAGGGGGAGCUCGGUUGCUUCCGUCUUCGCCAAGGGGAGGAGCCACAAGAUAUGUACAACCGGCUCAAGACCUUGGUGAAUCAAGUGCGCAACCUCGGGAUCAAAAAGUGGGAUGACCACGAGGUGGUUAAGGUUAUUCUAAGAUCUCUUAUUUUCCUUAACCCUACUCAAGUACAAUUAAUUCGUGGUAAUCCAAGAUAUACACUAAUGACUCCCGAGGAAGUAAUCGGGAAUUUUGUGAGCUUUGAAUUUAUGAUCAAGGGCUCACGAAAGAUCAAUGAGCUUGACGGUCCCUCCACGUCCGAAGCUCAACCGGUUGCAUUUAAGGCAACGGAGGAGAAGAAGGAGGAGUCUACACCAAGUAGACAACCAAUCGACGCCUCCAAGCUCGACAAUGAGGAAAUGGCGCUCGUCAUCAAGAGCUUCCGCCAAAUCCUCAAACAAAGGAGGGGGAAGGACUACAAACCUCGCUCCAAGAAAGUGUGUUACAAAUGUGGUAAGCCCGGUCAUUUUAUUGCAAAAUGUCCUAUAUCUAGUGACAGUGACAGGGGCGACGACAAGAAGGGGAGAAGAAAGGAAAAGAAGAGGUACUACAAGAAGAGGGGCGGCGAUGCCCAUGUUUGUCGUGAGUGGGACUCCGACAAAAGUUCUAGCGACUCCUCCGACGACGAGGAUGCCGCCAACAUCGCCGUCACCAAGGGACUUCUCUUCCCCAACGUCGGCCACAAGUGUCUCAUGGCAAAGGACGGCAAAAAGAAGAAGGUUAAAUCUAAACCCUCCACUAGAUAUGAAUCCUCUAGUGAUGAAAAUGCUAGUGAUGAGGAAGAUAACUUGCACACUCUUUUUGCCAACUUAAACAUGCAACAAAAGGAGAAAUUAAAUGAAUUAAUUAGUGCCAUCCAUGAGAAGGAUGAUCUCUUGGACUCCUAAGAGGACUUCCUAAUCAAGGAAAACAAAAAGCAUGUUAAGGUUAAAAAUGCUUAUGCUCUAGAAGUUGAAAAAUGUGAAAAAUUAUCUAGUGAGCUAAGCACUUGCCAUGAGACUAUAGACAACCUUAGAAAUGGGAAUUCUAAUUUGUUAGCUAAGGUUGAUUCUAUUGCUUGUAAUGUUUCAAUUCCCAAUCUUAGGAAUGAUAAUGAUGAUUUGCUUGCUAAGAUUGAAGAAUUAAACUUAUCUCUUGUUAGGCUUAGGAAUGAAAAUGAAAAAUUAAUUGCUAAGGCUAAAGAUUUUGAUGUUUGCAAUGCUACUAUUUCCGACCUUAGAACUAAGAAUGAUAUAUUGCAUGCUAAGGUUGUAGAAUUAAAAUCUUGCAAACCCUCUACAUCUACCGUUGAGCACACUUCUAUUUGUACUAGAUGUAGAGAUGUUGAUGUUAAUGCUAUACAUGAUCACAUGGCUUUAAUUAAACAACAAAAUGAUCAUAUAGCAAAACUAGAUGCUAAAAUUACCGAGCAUGAAAUUGAAAAUGAAAAAUUUAAAUUUGCUCGUAGUAUGCUUUAUAGUGGGAGACGUCCUGGCAUUAAGGAUGGCAUUGGCUUCCAACAGGGAGGCAAUGUCAAACUUAAUGCCCCUCCUAAGAAAUUGUCCAACUUUGUUAAGGGCAAGGCUCCCAUGCCUCAGGAUAACGAGGGUUACAUUUUAUACCCUGCCGGUUAUCCCGAGAGCAAAAUUAGGAGAAUUCACUCCAGGAAGUCUCACUCUGGCCCUAAUCAUGCUUUUAUGUAUAAGGGUGAGACAUCUAGUUCUAGGCAACAAACCCAUGCUAAGUUGCCUAAGAAGAAAACUCCUAGUGCAUCAAAUGAACAUAACUUUUCAUUUAAAACUUUUGAUGCAUCUUAUGUUUUAACUAACAAAUCCGACAAGGUUGUUGCCAAGUAUGUUGGGGGCAAGCACAAGGGGUCAAAGACUUGUGUUUGGGUACCCAAAGUUCUUGUUUCUAAUGCCAAAGGACCCAAAACCAUUUGGGUACCUAAAGUGAAGAACUAAACUUGUUUUGUAGGUUUAUGCAUCCGGGGGCUCAAGUUGGAUUAUCGACAGCGGGUGCACAAACCACAUGACAGGGGAGAAGAAGAUGUUCUCCUCCUACGAGAAAAACCAAGAUCCCCAACGAGCUAUCACAUUCGGGGAUGGAAAUCAAGGUUUGGUCAAAGGAUUGGGUAAAAUUGCUAUAUCUCCUGACCAUUCUAUUUCCAAUGUUUUUCUUGUAGAUUCUUUAGAUUACAAUUUGCUUUCUGUAUCUCAAUUAUGCAAAAUGGGCUACAACUGUUUAUUCACUGAUGUAGGUGUCACUGUCUUCAGAAGAAGUGAUGAUUCAAUAGCAUUUAAGGGAGUGUUAGAGGGUCAGCUAUACUUGGUAGAUUUUGAUAGAGCUGAACUCGACACUUGCUUAAUUGCUAAGACUAACAUGGGUUGGCUCUGGCACCGCCGACUAGCCCAUGUUGGGAUGAAGAAUCUUCACAAGCUUCUAAAGGGAGAGCACAUUUUAGGAUUAACAAAUGUUCAUUUUGAGAAAGACAGGAUUUGUAGCGCAUGCCAAGCAGGGAAGCAAGUUGGUGCUCACCAUCCCCAUAAGAACAUCAUGACGACUGACAGGCCACUGGAGCUCCUACACAUGGAUCUAUUCGGCCCGAUAGCUUACAUAAGCAUUGGCGGGAGUAAGUACUGUCUAGUUAUUGUGGAUGAUUAUUCUCGCUUCACUUGGGUGUUCUUUUUGCAGGAAAAAUCUCAUACCCAAGAGACCUUAAAGGGAUUCUUGAGACGGGCUCAAAACGAGUUCGGCUUAAGGAUCAAGAAAAUUAGAAGCGACAACGGGACGGAGUUCAAGAACUCUCAAAUUGAAGGCUUCCUUGAGGAGGAGGGCAUCAAGCAUGAGUUCUCUUCUCCCUACACGCCACAACAAAAUGGUGUAGUGGAGAGGAAGAAUCGAACUCUAUUGGACAUGGCUAGAACCAUGCUUAAUGAGUACAAGACAUCGGAUCGGUUUUGGGCCAAGGCAGUCAACACCGCCUGCUACGCCAUCAACCGGUUAUAUCUACACCGAAUCCUCAAGAAGACAUCAUACGAACUCCUAACCGGUAAAAAGCCCAAUAUUUCAUAUUUUAGAGUCUUUGGUAGCAAAUGCUUUAUUCUUAUUAAAAGAGGAAGAAAAUCUAAAUUUGCUCCUAAGACUGUAGAAGGCUUUUUACUAGGAUAUGAUUCAAACACAAGGGCAUAUAGAGUCUUUAACAAGUCCUCCGGACAAGUUGAAGUUUCUUGUGACGUUGUGUUUGAUGAGACUAACGGCUCUCAAGUAGAGCAAGUUGAUCUUGAUGAGAUAGGUGAUGAAGAGGCUCCGUGCAUCGCGCUAAGGAACAUGUCCAUUGGGGAUGUGUGUCCUAAGGAAUCCGAAGAGCCUCCAAAUGCACAAGAUCAACCAUCCUCCUCCACGCAAGCAUCUCCACCGACUCAAAACAAGGAUGAAGCUCAAGUUGAUGAAAUAGAAGAUCAAGCAAAUGAGCCAUCUCAAGAUGACGACAAUGAUCAAGGGGGAGAUGCAAAUGACCAAGACAAGGAGGAUGAAGAACAAAGGCUGCCACACCCAAGAGUCCACCAAGCAAUCCAACGAGAUCACCCCGUCGACAUCAUCCUCGGCGACAUUCAUAAGGGGGUAACCACUAGAUCUCGUGUUGCACAUUUUUGUGAGCAUUACUCUUUUGUUUCCUCUAUUGAGCCACACAGGGUAGAGGAAGCACUUCAAGAUUAGGAUUGGGUGGUGGCAAUGCAAGAGGAGCUUAACAACUUCACUAGGAAUGAGGUAUGGCAUUUAGUUCCACGUCCUAAUCAAAAUGUUGUAGGAACCAAAUGGAUCUUCCGCAACAAGCAAGAUGAGCAUGGUGUGGUGACAAGGAACAAAGCCCGACUUGUGGCCAAGGGAUACUCCCAAGUCGAAGGUUUGGAUUUCGGAGAAACAUAUGCACCCGUAGCUAGGCUUGAGUCAAUUCGUAUAUUAUUGGCCUAUGCUACUUACCAUGGUUUUAAGCUUUAUCAAAUGGACGUGAAAAGUGCCUUCCUCAAUGGACCAAUCAAGGAAGAGGUAUAUGUUGAGCAACCUCCCGGCUUUGAAGAUAGUGAGUACCCUAACCAUGUGUAUAAACUCUCUAAGGCGCUUUAUGGGCUCAAGCAAGCCCCAAGAGCAUGGUAUGAAUGCCUUAGGGAUUUCCUUAUCACUAAUGGAUUCAAAGUCGGAAAGGCCGAUCCUACACUCUUCACUAAAACUCUUGAAAAUGACUUGUUUGUAUGCCAAAUUUAUGUUGAUGAUAUUAUAUUUGGGUCUACUAACGAGUCUACAUGUGAAGAAUUUAGUAGGAUCAUGACACAAAAGUUCGAGAUGUCGAUGAUGGGGGAGUUGAAGUAUUUCUUAGGAUUUCAAGUGAAGCAACUCCAAGAGGGCACCUUCCUAAGCCAAACGAAGUAUACUCAAGAUAUUCUAAGCAAGUUUGGAAUGAAGGAUGCCAAACCCAUCAAGACACCCAUGGGAACCAAUGGGCAUCUCGACCUCGACGAGGGAGGUAAAUCCAUCGAUCAAAAGGUAUAUCAGUCGAUGAUAGGUUCCUUGCUAUAUUUAUGUGCAUCUCGACCGGAUAUUAUGAUCUCCGUAUGCAUGUGUGCAAGAUUCCAAGCCGACCCUAAGGAAGCUCACCUUACGGCCGUAAAACGAAUCUUGAGAUAUUUAGUUUAUACUCCUAAGUUUGGGCUUUGGUAUCCUAGGGGAUCCACAUUUGAUUUGAUUGGUUAUUCAGAUGCCGAUUGGGCGGGGUGUAAAAUCAAUAGAAAGAGCACAUCGGGGACUUGCCAGUUCUUGGGAAGAUCCUUGGUGUCAUGGGCUUCAAAGAAGCAAAAUUCCGUAGCUCUUUCUACCGCCGAAGCCGAGUACAUUGCCGCAGGCCAUUGUUGCGCGCAACUACUUUGGAUGAGGCAAACCCUUAGGGACUAUGGUUACAAAUUAACCAAAGUUCCUCUUCUAUGUGAUAAUGAGAGUGCAAUCCGCAUGGCGGAUAAUCCCGUUGAGCAUAGCCGCACUAAACACAUAGCCAUUCGGUAUCAUUUUCUAAGGGAUCACCAACAAAAGGGAGAUAUCGAAAUUUCAUAUAUUAACACUAAAGUUCAAUUAGCCGAUAUCUUUACCAAACCUCUUGAUGAACAAACCUUUAACAAACUUAGGCAUGAGCUAAAUAUUCUUGAUUCUAGGAACUUCUUUUGUUGAUUUGCACACAUAGCUCAUUUAUAUACCUUUGAUCAUAUCUCUUUCAUAUGUUAUGACUAAUGUGUUUUCAAGUCUAUUUCAAACCAAGUCAUAGGUGUAUUGAAAGGAAAUUGGAGUCUUCGGUGAAGACAAAGGCUUCCACUCCGCAACUCAUCCUUCACCGUCACUCCGAGCAACUCUCCAUCUUUGGGGGAGAGAUCCCUCUUCUACUUUGGUAUAUUCUUCACUCAUUUAUUUAUGACCAAAGGGGGAGAGAGAUAUUCCAAGGGCUCUAAUGACUCCGUUUUUGGCGAUUCAUGCCAAAGGGGGAGAAAAGUAUUAGCCCAAAGCAAAAGGACCGCACCACCGCACCACCACCUAAUUUUAAAAAGAAUUUUUCAAUUGGUAUGAUUAUCAAUUGAUAAACUUAACAUUGGUAUCUUAUUGUGUUCAAAAGAGGGAGAAAGUAGCUUUUCAAAAUUGAUAUAUCAAAACCCUCUUGAACACUAAGAGGAGAAUUUUAUUUAGGGGGAGAUUUGUUUAGUCAAAGGAAAAGCAUUUGAAACAGGGGGAGAAAAUUUCAAAUCUUGACAAUGCUUCAAAAAUCUUAUUCAUUUACCUUUGACUAUUUGCAAAAGAACUUUGAAAAGAAUUUACAAAAGAAUUUGCAAAAACAAAACAUGUGGUGCAAGCGUGGUCCAAAAUGUCAAAAAUUAAAGAAACAAUCCAUGCAUAUCUUAUAAGUAUUUAUAUUGGCUAAAUUCCAAGCAACCUUUGCACUUACAUUGUGCAAACUAGUUCAAUUAUGCACUUCUAUAUUUGCUUUGGUUUGUGUUGGCAUCAAUCACCAAAAAGGGGGAGAUUGAAAGGGAAUUAGGCUUACACCUAUUUCCUAAAUGAUUUUGGUGGUUGAAUUGCCCAACACAAAUAAUUGGACUAACUAGUUUGCUCUAGUGUAUAAGCUAUACAGGUGCCAAAGGUUCACACUUAGCCGAUAAAAAGACCAAGUUUUGGGGUUCAACAAAAGAGCAAAGGGAUAACCGAAGUGUGCCCUGGUCUGGCGCACCGGACUGUCCGGUGUGCCACCGGACAGUGUCCGGUGCACCAGGGGACUUCACGCUGAACUCUUCACCUUCGGGAAAAUCUAGAGGCGCUCCGCUAUAAUUCACCGGACUGUCUGGUGUACACCGGACAGUGUCCGGUGCUCCAAGGAAGAGCGCCUCAGGAACUCGCCAGCUUCGGGAAUUCGCUCUGCUAUAAUUCACCGGACAUGUCCGGUGUACACCGGACUGUCCGGUGAGCUAGCGGAGCAACGGCUAUCCAGCGCCAACGGUCACCUGCUACAGCAUUAAAUGCGCGCCAGAGCGCGCAGAAGUCAGACACGCGCGCGCUGGCACACCGGACACUCUACAGUACAUGUCUGGUGUGCCACCGGACAUCAAGGCGGGCCCAGAAGACAGAGCUCCAACGGUCGGAACCCAACGGCCUUGGUGAUGUGGCUGGCGCACCGGACAUGUCCGGUGUGCACCGGACUGUCCGGUGCACCAUACGACAGUCAGCCACCACCAAACGACUAGUUUGGUGGUUGGGGCUAUAAAUACCCCCAACCACCCCACAUUCAAGUCAUCCAAGUUUUCCCACUUCAACUACUUACAAGAGCUCUAGCAUUCAAUUCUAGACACACCCAAGUGAUCAAAUCCUCUCCAAACUCCACACAACGCCCUAGUGAUUAGAGAGAGAGAUUUGCUUGUGUUCUUUCGAGCUCUUGCGCUUGGAUUGCUUUCUUCUUUCUUUGAUUCUUCAUUGCGAUCAAACUCACUUGUAAUUGAGGCAAGAGACACCAAUCUUGUGGUGGUCCUUGUGGGAACUUUGUGUUCCAAGUGAUUGAGAAGAAAAGCUCACUCGGUCCGAGGGACCGUUUGAGAGAGGGAAAGGGUUGAAAGAGACCCGGUCUUUGUGACCACCUCAACGGGGAGUAGGUUUGCGAAAACCGAACCUCGGUAAAACAAAUCCACGUGUCACACUCCUUAUUCACUUGCGAUUUGUUUUGCACCCUCUCUCGCGGACUCGAUUAUAUUUCUAACGCUAACCCGGCUUGUAGUUGUGAUUAUUUUGGGGAUUUCAGUUUUGCCCUAUUCACCCCCCCCCCCUCUAGGUGACUUUCACCAAGCAGGAGGAGGCACCUCGUCGGCUGUCGAGCGAGUCGAUGGCGCCGGCGCCCCAACGGGGGGCACGUCGGGCAUCAACCUCGCGUCUGAGACGAAGAUGAGCGCCGUUUCCCCGCAACACGCCAACCCCAAGCAAACGGACGACGCCAGCACGCUCGCAAAGGACUUGCUGGGCGUCACCCUCGUACCUGAGACGACGGUGCAGUCUGCCCCUGACGUGACUUCGUCACCGCCCGUCGACCAAGAGGUACCGACCGAUUCCCAUCUCGUGCCUUUUGGAUUCAGCCUCGACCCACCAAGCGACUUCGCUUUGGUGGACGCUAUCAUAGAGGCGAGUCCAAACCCUCUGGGGUAUUGUAUGCGGUCACCCUGGGACCGGCUGACGGCCGUCUCGACCUACGGGCCCUUGGGUUCCGAGGAAGAUGACGAGCCUGACUUUAGUUGGGAUUUCUCCGGACUUGGUAACCCCAGUGCCAUGCGGGACUUUAUGACCGCAUGCAACUACUGCCUUUCCGACUGUUCCGACGGUAGCCGCAGCCUCGGCGACGAGGACUACGGCCCAAGUCGUGAAUGUUUCCACAUCGAUCUAGGGGGUCCCGACGAAGGCAACCAUCUUGGUAUACCGGAGAAUGGUGAUCCCCCUAGGCCUGUGCCUCGCGUUGACAUCCUUCGGGAGCUAGCUGUGGUCCCCGUCCCGGCGGGGGGUCAUGACCCACAACUCGAGCAAAUCCGCGAGAUGCAGGCCAGGCUCGACGAGGGAGCAGGAACACUUGAGCCAAUCCGCCGGGACAUUGGGCAGGAAUGGGCGGGCCAACCUCCGGCCGGAGAAGUGCGUCAUCUACCCUAGGGCAUCCAGCACCGCAUCACCGACGACGUCAGGGUAAGACCACCACCGGUUUCCAGUGGGGUCGGCCAAAACCUGGCUGCAGCGGCAAUACUUCUCCUCGUGAUGCCGGAGCCAUCUACCACCGAGGGGCGGCGUAUCCAGGGAGAGCUCAAGAAUCUCCUGGAGGAUGCAGCGGUCUGAUGGGCCGAAAGCUCUGCCUCCCGAAGGCAGGGGUACCCCUCGGAACAUCGCGCCGCGACUUUCCGAUUCAUGCGAGAAGCCUCAGUCCACAUCGGGCGCACGCGCAACACAGCGCCUGCGGCCCCGGGUCGCCUCGGCAACGAGCACCAUCACCACAACCGUCGAGCCCACCUCGACGAGAAGGUGCGCCGAGGCUACCACCCCAGGCGUGGGGGACGCUAUGACAACGGGGAGGAUCGGAGUCCCUCGCCCGAACCACCCGGUCCGCAGGCUUUCAGCCGGGCCAUACGACGGGCACCGUUCCCGACCCGGUUCCGAACCCCAACUACUAUCACAAAGUACUCGGGGGAGACGAGACCGGAACUGUGGCUCGCGGACUAUCGGUUGGCCUGUCACCUGGGUGGAACGGACGAUGACAACCUCAUCAUCCGCAACCUCCCCCUGUUCCUCUCCGACACCGCUCGAGCCUGGCUGGAGCACCUGCCUCCGGGGCAGAUCUCCAACUAGGACGACCUGGUCCAAGCCUUCGCCGGCAAUUUCCAGGGCACGUACGUGCGCCCUGGAAACUCCUGGGAUCUCCGAAGCUGCCGCCAGCAGCCAGGAGAGUCUCUCCGGGACUACAUCCGACGAUUCUCGAAGCAGCGCACCGAGCUGCCCAACGUCACCGACUCGGAUGUCAUUGGCGCGUUCCUCGCCGGCACCACCUGCCGCGACCUGGUGAGCAAGCUGGGCCGCAAGACCCCCACCAGGGCCAGCGAGCUGAUGGACAUUGCCACCAAGUUUGCCUCUGGCCAGGAGGCGGUUGAGGCCAUCUUCCAGAAGGACAAGCAGCCCUAGGGCCACCUACCGGAAGAUGUCCCCGAGGCGUCAACUCAGCGCGGCACCAAUAAGAAGGGCAAGAAGAAGUCGCAAGCGAAACGCGACACCGCCGACGCGGACCUUGUCGCCGCCGUCGAGUACAAGAACCCUCGAAAACCUCCCGGAGGUGCCAAUCUCUUCGACAAGAUGCUCAAGGAGCGGUGCCCCUAUCAUCAGGGGCCCGUCAAGCACACCCUUGAGGAGUGCGCCAUGCUUCGGUGCCACUUUCACAAGGCCGGGCCACCUGCAGAAGGUGGCAGGGCCCGCGACGACAAUAAGAAGGAGGAUCACAAGGCAGGAGAGUUCCCCGAGGUCCACGACUGCUUCAUGAUCUACGGUGGGCAAGUGGCGAAUGCCUCGGCUCGACACCGCAAGCAAGAGCAUCGGGAGGUCUGCUCGGUAAAGGUGGCGGCGCCAGUCUACCUAGACUGGUCCGACAAGCCCAUCACCUUCGACCAGGGCGACCAUCCCGACCGCGUGCCGAGCCCGGGGAAAUACCCGCUCGUUGUCGACCCCGUCAUCGGCAACGUCAGGCUCACCAAGGUCCUCAUGGACGGAGGCAGAAGCCUCAACAUCAUCUACGCCGAGACCCUCAGGCUCCUGCGGAUCGAUCUGUCCUCGGUCCGGGCAGGCGCUGCGCCUUUUCACGGGAUCAUCCCCGGGAAGCACGUCCAACCCCUCGGACAACUCGAUCUACCCGUCUGAUUUGGGACACCCUCCAACUUUCGAAGGGAGACCCUCACGUUCGAAGUGGUCGGGUUUCGAGGAACCUACCACGCAGUGCUGGGGAGGCCAUGCUACGCCAAGUUCAUGGUCGUCCCCAACUACACCUACCUCAAGCUCAAGAUGUCGGGCCCCAACGGGGUCAUCACUGUCGGCCCCACGUACCGACACGCGUACGAAUGCGACGUGGAGUGCGUGGAGUACGCCGAGGCCCUCGCCGAAUCCGAGGCCCUCAUCGCCGACCUGAAGAGCCUCUCUAAGGAGGUGCCAGACGUGAAGCGCCACGCCGGCAACUUCGAGCCAGCGGAGACGGUUAAAUCCAUCCCUCUCGACCCCAGCAACGACGCCUCCAAGCAGAUCCGGAUCGGCUCUGAGCUCGAUCCCAAAUAGGAAGUAGUGCUCGUCGACUUUCUCCGCGCAAACGCCGACGUCUUCGCGUGGAGUCCCUCGGACAUGCCCGGCAUACCGAGGGAUGUCGCCGAGCACUCGCUGGAUAUCCGAGCUGGAGCCCAACCCGUGAAGCAGCCUCUGCGCCGAUUCAACGAAGAAAAGCGCAGAGCCAUAGGCUAGGAGAUCCACAAGCUAAUGGCGGCAGGGUUCAUCAAAGAGGUAUUCCAUCCCGAAUGGCUUGCCAACCCUGUGCUUGUGAGAAAGAAAGGAGGGAAAUGGCAGAUGUGUGUAGACUACACUGGUCUAAACAAAGCAUGUCUGAAAGUUCCCUACCCUCUGCCUCGCAUCGAUCAAAUCGUGGAUUCCACUGCUGGGUGCGAAACCCUGUCUUUCCUCGAUGCCUACUCAGGGUAUCACCAAAUCAGGAUGAAAGAGUCCGACCAGCUCGCGACUUCUUUCAUCACACCUUUCGGCAUGUACUGCUAUGUUACCAUGCCGUUCGGUUUGAGGAAUGCGGGUGCGACAUACCAAAGGUGCAUGAACCACGUGUUCGGUGAACACAUUGGCCGAACGGUCGAGGCCUACGUCGAUGACAUCGUAGUCAAGACGAGGAAAGCCUCCAACCUCCUUUCCGACCUUGGAGCGACAUUCCAAUGUCUCAAGGCGAAAGGCGUAAAACUCAAUCCCGAGAAGUGUGUCUUCGGGGUCCCCCGAGGCAUGCUCUUGGGGUUCAUCGUCUCUGAGCGGGGCAUCGAGGCCAACCCGGAGAAGAUCGCGGCCAUCACCAGCAUGGGGCCCAUCAAGGACUUGAAAAGCAUACAGAGGGUCACGGGAUGCCUUGCGGCUCUGAGCCGUUUCAUCUCGCACCUCGGCGAAAGAGGCCUGCCUCUGUACCACCUCUUAAGGAAGGCCGAGUGCUUCACUUGGACCCCUGAGGCCGAGGAAGCCCUCGGGAACUUGAAGGCGCUCCUCACGAACGCGCCCAUCUUGGUGCCCCCCGCUGCUGGAGAAUCCCUCUUGAUCUACGUCACCGCUACCACUCAGGUGGUUAGCGCCGCGAUUGUGGUUGAGAGACGAGAAGAGGGGCAUGCAUUGCCCGUCCAGAGGCCAGUCUACUUCAUCAGUGAGGUACUGUCCGAGACCAAGAUCCGCUACCCACAAAUUCAGAAGCUGCUGUACGUGGUGAUCCUAACGCGGCGGAAGUUGCGACACUACUUCGAGUCUCAUCCGGUAACUGUGGUGUCAUCCUUCCCCCUGGGGGAGAUCAUCCAGUGCCGAGAGGCCUCGGGUAGAAUUGCAAAGUGGGCGGUGGAAAUCAUGGGCGAAACGAUCUCGUUCGCCCCUCGAAAGGCCAUCAAGUCCCAGGUCUUGGCGGACUUUGUGGCUGAAUGGGUCGACACCCAGCUCCCAACAGCUCCGAUCCAACCGGAACUCUGGACCAUGUUUUUCGACGGGUCGCUGAUGAAGACAGGAGCAGGCGCAGGCCUGCUCUUCAUCUUGCCCCUCGGGAAGCACCUACUCUACGUGCUACGCCUCCAUUUCCCGGCGUCCAACAAUGUGGCCGAGUGCUCUGGUCAACGGGUUGCGCAUCGCCAUCGAGCUAGGGGUCCGACGCCUCGACGCUCGCGGUGACUCGCAGCUCGUCAUCAACCAAGUCAUGAAGAACUCCCGCUGCCGCGACCCGAAGAUGGAAGCCUACUGCGAUGAGGUUCGGCGCUUGGAAGACAAGUUCUACGGGCUCGAGCUCAACCACAUCGCCCGACGCUACAACGAUACUGCGGACGAGCUGGCUAAAAUAGCCUCAGGGCAAACAAUGGUUCCCCCAGACGUCUUCUCCCGAGACCUGCAUCAACCCUCCGUCAAGACCGACGACACACCCGAACCCGAGAAGGCCUCGGCCCAGCCCGAGGCACCCUCGGCUCGGCCCGAGGCACCCUCGGCCCCCGAGGGUGAGGCACUGCGCGUCGAGGAGGAGCGGAGCGGGGCCACGCCUAAUCGAAACUGGCAGACCCGUUACCUGCAAUAUAUCCACCGAGGAGAGCUACCCCUCGACCGAGCCGAAGCUCGGUGGUUGGCGCGGCGCGCCAAGUCGUUCGUCUUGUUGGGAGACGGGAAGAAGCUCUACCACCGCAGCCCCUCAGGCAUCCUCCAGCGAUGCAUUUCCAUCGCCGAAGGCCAGGAGCUCUUACAAGAGAUACACUCGGGGGCUUGCGGCCAUCACGCAGCACCUCGAGCCCUUGUUGGAAACGCCUUCCGACAAGGCUUCUACUAGCCGACCGUGGUGGCGGACGCCACUAGAAUUGUUCGCACCUGCCAAGGGUGUCAAUUCUAUGCAAGGCAGACCCACCUGCCCGCUCAGGCUCUGUAGACCAUACCCAUCACCUGGUCGUUUGCUGUGUGGGGUCUGGACCUCGUCGGCCCCUUGCAGAAGGCACCCGGGGGCUACACGCACCUGCUGGUCGCCAUCGACAAAUUCUCCAAGUGGAUCGAGGUCCGACCCCUAAACAGCAUCAGGUCCGAACAGGCGGUGGCGUUCUUCACCAACAUCAUCCAUCGCUUUGGGGUCCCGAACUCCAUCAUCACCGACAAUGGCACCCAGUUCACCGGUAGAAAGUUCCUAGACUUCUGCGAGGAUCACCGCAUCCGGGUGGACUGGGUCGCCGUGGCUCACCCCAUGACGAAUGGGCAAGUAGAGCGUGCCAACGGCAUGAUCCUGCAAGGGCUCAAGCCGUGGAUCUAUGAUGACCUCAACAAGUUCGGCAAGCGAUGGAUGAAGGAGCUCCCCUCGGUGGUCUGGAGUCUGAGGACAACGCCGAGCCGAGUCACGGGCUUCACACCGUUCUUUCUAGUCUAUGGGGCCGAGGCCAUCUUGCCCGCAGACUUAGAAUACGGUUCCCCGAGGACGAGGGCCUACGACGGCCAAAGCAAUCGAGCUAACCGAGAAGACUCGCUGGACCAGCUGGAAGAGGCUCGGGACAUGGCCUUACUACACUCGGCGCGGUACCAGCAGUCCCUGCGACGCUACCACGCCCGAGGGGUUCGGUCCCAAGACCUCCAGGUGGGCGACCUGGUGCUUCGGCUGCGACAAGACGCCCGAGGGCGUCACAAACUCACGCCUCCCUGGGAAGGGCCAUUCGUCAUCGCCAAAUUUCUGAAGCCCGGGACGUACAAGCUGGCCAACAGUCAAGGCGAGGUCUACGGCAACGCUUAGAACAUCCGACAGCUACGUCGCUUCUACCCUUAAGAUGCUUUCAAGUUAUUCGUACACCUCGUUCACACACGAAGUCUAGUCAUCAAGGAAGGGUCAGCCUUGCCUCGGCAAAGCCCGACCCUCCCUCGGGGGCUAAAAGGGGGGAACCCCCUCUGGGUCAAAAUUUUCCUCUGAAAAAGAUCUUUUCUGCCAGAAUGUCUUUCGUGCUUUUCGACUACUUCGAAAGUGGAUCCUGAAAACGACGGAGUACACGUAAGCAGCCAAGGCUGACCGAGCCGAGGGACUCCUACGCCUCCGGGAUACGGAUACCUCACUCAUCACCUUCUGCGAUAAGUAACUCACGCUCGGAUAAGUGAUUCCGCAGACCGAACAAGUCUUCACGCUCGAAAAAUCCUCUGCCGAAACGAUUUUUCGGGCCUUCUCGACUACGUCGGUGACAGAACCCUAUGGACGAGUAAGAGUGCACGUAAGCGGCAAGGCCGACCGAGCCGAGGGAUUCCUACGCCUCCGGGAUACGGAUACCUCACUCGUCACCUUCCGUGAAAAGUAACUCUCGCUCGGACAAGUAAUUCUGUUACCGACAAAUAAGUCCAGAUACUCGAGACAACAGGAAAAGGAACGCAGCUUUACAACACGACAACAGUAUGUUUGGGCCUCGGCGGCCGCAGAAAACAUACGCACACUACAAAAUAACCCGAUCCUGCAGGCUCGGAUCUUGACAGUUGAAGGGAGCAGCAGCACCCUCGGCGUCAACUACACCUUCGGCGAGGUCCGGCCUAGCCUCGGACGGCGACGCGGUCGGAGGAUCUCCAAUCCGAAGGACGACAUCAGCACCAUGCCCGGGCCAUCGCCGCCAGGGUCUUCUCCAGGAAUCCGGCUCGAGCAAACGGCUCGGCCGGCCACCCCGAAGCCUCAGCCAGCUGUCCCCCGAGGACAUUAGCCCGGCUCGUGGCAUCGGCGACUCAACUCCGGCGUCGGUCCUGCUAGUGGACGACCCGGCCAGGCUCCGGCCGACUGUUGGGGACUUGUUCUCAAAUGCUAUGAAUUAAGAACAAGGCAACAUAAAAUGUUAAAUGUUAACGUCCUUCGUCCAUGAAACAUUAUUCCCUUGAGGAUAAUGAGCCUUAGACGAAGGUUAACGAGAAUAUGAUUACGAAGCUUAAAUCUUCGUAAUAAAAUUUCAAUAAAUAUUGUAAGACAACGUAGAAUAUAGAGUAUAAAAAGGGUGAAUAAUUCAUAAAUGAAUUAUAUUAUACUAUAUUUAUUUGAUAUGAUGAAUCAUUGAAUACAAUAAUACCUCUGCCUUGGUAAAGGUUAGAUUCCGAAAGAUGCGAUUGCAAUUAUCAGAAUGCCCGAACAGUAAAGGAAUACUGUUCACUAUUUAUAGGCACAGGGCGCAGCCUGUGAGGAAUUACAAGUAUGCCCCUUAUAAAAGUUUACAACAUUGACUCAGACCUUUAUGGACUAAAAGGUCAUUCUAUCUUUAGGUCAGUUUGUAAUACUGAAGCUUUAUGAAGAGGAACCUUCGGCCAUCUUAUACAAACAGCUUCAGCCGCUUCUUCCUACAAGACCUUCGGCGAUGAAGCAUAGGCCCAACAGUAGCCCCUUUCGCGGUGCUAGAUCGUUUUUCGUAACGAGCUUGAUCCGUGAAAAAAGUCUCUUAAGCUUCGGAGCGCCGAAGGUCUAAAAAACACCUUUCCUGAGCUCGUUGUCGAGAAACGAUUCAAUUUCCCAGCGUGUAGCGGCCCCGCCUUGCAGAGUUACUGUUCGGUCUCUGCGGUCCACCACGCAGCGAGUGCGAGCGGGUGUCCGCCUGGUGUAAAAAUCCUGGCGCUUCGCCUUCUUACCUGCAACACUAUAUAAACAGACGAGUAGGUGUGAAGUUACCACAGCAUUCAUUGCUAUUUGCAUUGUUUUGCUGCAAAAAUUUUUAACCGUCGCCGAAGCUUGUCUGUCGGAAUCGAACGAAGCUCCAGUUUGAAACCUGCUUCGGAGGAAACAAGUAUUAAAGUUCCAUAAGUUCAUAAUUAAAUGGCCAGAGUGCGUUCUACCGCCAGGGUUGAGCGUGAGGGGGACGAGACUGAAGCUUCGGAGACCGUUCCUAUCUCCGAAGCUAUGCAACGAUCCGGGCUGGUGACUUCAGAAAAGAUCCCUAAUGAUGAUGCAGAACAGGCAGAACAAGCAAUCGCUGAAGCAGAAGAAGAAGAUAUUGAGGAAACUGAUCCCGAAGAUGAUUAUCGCAUUGCCAUGCCAAGCAAGCCCAGCCACUUGGACUUCGGGAAAUCUACUGUUUCGAAGGCUGAUCUGUCCAAGAUGGUAAAGUCAGGCUUUUUUACUGAAAAUCAGAAGAAGCUAUUACGCUUCGGAGGAGAAGAAACUACCCCAAAGCCGGAGAAGGAUGAAAUUGUUAUUUUCAAGAGCUUCCUAAAGGCUGGAUUAAGAUUUCCCUUACAUGGGAUUAUUGCAGAGGUACUGAAGAGGUUCGGUAUCUAUUUUCACCAGCUGACCCCUAACGCUAUCGUUAGGCUUAGUGUUUAUAUCUGGGCACUCCGAAGCCAAGCGGUGGAACCAUUUGCGGACAGCUUUUGCCGGGUUCACGAGUUGCAUUAUCAAACGAAGGCUAGAAAGGAUGGAUUGCACGACAAUUUUGGUUGCUAUAACUUCGCCUAUCGGAAAUCUACAAAGUUUCCUAUAAUUAGCUACCGAAGCAAAUGGGCAGCAGGCUGGAAAUCAGAGUGGUUCUAUGUCAAGGUUGAUGACGAUAAGGAAAAGCUUGUACAAAGUCCACUCGAAUUAAUCUUCGGAGAAACCCGACCUCGCUGCAAUAUGACACCCGAAGGUCCAACACAACAAGCAAUGAAUGAAUUCAGAAUUAUUGCAGAGCAUAUCAGCACAAGGGACCUGGUUCAGGAGUUUUUGGCUUUCAAAGUUUUUCCUAGUGUAAAGGAGUGGGAAAUGCCGAAGCUGAAGGGGGAGAAGAAAGAAGGUGAACUCGUGCGCUUACCUUACUACUUCAAGUUUAAGAAAUACUUCAAAACACCUUGCCAAGAGUGGCUGGAUACAAUUGAAGUGAUGUGCAAUGAGAUACUUGGCAAUUAUUCUAAAAAAGAAGAUCAGUUGAUGACCGCAGCCUUCGGCACCCGUCCGAAGCGAAGACUAAACCGAGUGCUGGACGCCCUAGGUUUCGAAUACCCUGAUUACGAAAAUCUGAACAAAGGUGCCGGAGACCAAAAAAGGAAAAGGAUAACUGAAGCCUUAAAUGAAGAUGAAAAAGAACUACCAAAGAAGAAAAUUCCGAAGAGGAAGAGAGCGUCUUCUCCGAAGCGUAAAAUAUCCGACGAAGAAGAAACCCCCGCAUCACCCUCUACCACUGACAUUGAGGAAAUUCUGAAGGUAAUGACUGAAUCCUUACCUGCGAAGCUAAGUCCACUGGGGCCCCAACUGACAAAGUUUUUCAGAAGGACAAGGAGCCCGAAAAGUCGAAGAAAAUAAUCAAAGCAAAGAAACAAAGAAUUAUUACUGUGACAGAAGUAAUUGACAAGACACCGCCAAGAGCUUCAGCUCAGAAAACACCAGCGGCUGUGUGGGGGAUAGAUAUCCCCUGGGUCCACUAAAGAAGUAAAAGGCCUCACGAAAGGCCCAAGGGCCUAAUAAUUCGUAAGGUCAUUCUUUCGUGGGCCUAGGGAAAGGCAACCAACAGAGAAGAGAAGACGUGAGACUGGACUGGUGCAAACCCGGACGGCCCACAACGUCGGACGAAUGAAUCGCAACAUAGACCCGACUUUCCCGCGCUGAAGCCCCCAUGCAACGGAGCCAUGCGAGGAUAAGUCGGCGAAGGUUACGCAGGAUAAACUCAAGAAGUUCACUACCUUUUAGCUACUUGUUGUUAUCAUAUCCAUGUGUACUGCUCCACGGUCGAGUAUAUAAGGCCUAGGGGGCACCCUUUCAGAACGAUCGACCCAGUUUCACUUUGCCACCCACGAAAACUCUCUGUGCUUUCAACCCAGAGAGCCCUCUUGUAACCACGCCCGUAUACUCAUCAGGACGUAGGGUGUUACGCACUUCUAAGCGGCCCGAACCUGCAAAUCUUGUCCAUUGUUCCUCGUGCGAUCAGCACGAACCAUUUUGCUACAGUCGUCGACACCGUCCUACUCCUAAAAACACCUUGAGGGGCAACCCCGGGUGUGCGGUCGGACCCAAAACACCGACAGCAGGCGCGCCAGGUAGGGGGUGUGUCGACGAUCCAAGCUAGCUCAAUGGCCGUCACCUUCCACAACAAGAUCACCGUGCGUCCCGGAUCUGUAUUCUGCUUCGGGACAAUCUCAUCUGUAGCGGAUGAAGAGGGAAUUCUGCACCGCCUCGCGGAUCUGCCAGAAAAGAAGUCUCCUCCAACAAACUCCGAAAAUGCUGGAAAGACGCUACCUCCGGCUCUUCGGAAAAAGAUCGUCUCCGGGGAAGCUAGAGCUGGAAGCUCGCUGACCCGGAAGACUCCGCUGUCUACUUCCCCGACGAAAGAAUGGACACGGGUCGCGAGAAAGAAGGAGACCAGGGAGAGGCCAGUCGUUCUUCCCGUUCCUCCGGCCUCAAAGGAGAACGGAAAGGUAGUCGCCGCGACAGCAGUACCGUUCUACCCCGACGUCCUCUUCAUCGGGAGAGCAGAGUCGCCCGCCGUCUCUGACGAUGAACCGACCGUGCCUGGAGAAGAACCACCUCAACGAGAAUCCCGCCGACGAAGGAACCGACGCAGGAACGUUCGACGACAUCACGCAGCCGGAGAACGGGAUCCGGAGCAGCCUGUCUCGCGAGACGAGGUCUCAGAGAUAGGAGAAACUCCGGAAGAACGCGUCUUCAGGGAACGAAGGAACUCACGACGACGUGAUCGCCGGCGGACUCAGGAGCAAGCCGAGCAAAAUGCAAGGCAACGACGCGAGAAUCCGCUCUUCGGGCGCAACCUGAACCCCGACUUCGCCCGAGCUAUGAACACACCGAGCGAAGUCGGAGGCGUUCUAGCUCGGAUAGCUGACGGACUUCCUCGGACUCCCGACGCCGAGGGAUACCGACGCCUGUUCACUCAGGCGGCCAACCAUCUUCUACCGCUUGCUCACCCGCCGAACGAUUUGCGACACGCCAUCAACAGUCGCCGAGACGCGCGAAGCUCUAUCAAUGCUUCGCGCGAACGGCGGCAUGAGAACGAAAUCCGCCGUCGGGAGGAGUAUGACCGAGAUCAUGGCUUCCCGACUCAAAGCCAGGCCACCAGGACUGAGUCGGCAACAGCUUCAACUGGCGGUACCACCCGGGGACGGUCGAGGAACCACUACCACCACUCCCCUCCCCGGGACAGACGUCAUCCCCGACGACAGGAGGACACGUGCGGAGUAUCCGCUCUUACUCCACGCCUUAGGGCCAUCCAAUGGCCUCCCAACUUCAAGGUAUCCAAUGUCGACAAAUAUGAACCUAAGCAGGAUCCAGGGGGCUGGUUAGCCGUCUACACCACCGCUGCUCGGGCUGCCGGAGCAUCCGAAGACGUCAUGACCGCGUAUCUGCCCAUCGUCCUUGGGCAAGACGCGCUGCAGUGGCUACGACAUCUACCUCGACACUGCAUCGACGACUGGGGAGACUUCAGUCGACGUUUCACCGCCAACUUCCAGUCUCUCUCCGACAAGCCAGCGCAACCAUGGGACCUCAAAUCCAUCAAGCGCCGGGGGGAUGAGACUCUCCGGUCAUACCUCAAAAGGUUCCAGACCAUGAGAAACCGCAUCCCCGAGGUCACGGAGGCGGCCGUGAUCGAGGACUUCUACAGAGGAUCUAAUGACUCGGCUUUCGUCCGAGCCAUACUACAAAAGGCGCCGACUACUUCCGAGGAGCUAUUCCGGGAAGCCGACCUCUACAUCACCGCCGACGAGCGGGCCCAGGAUCUCAUCGGAGGAGCAAAGCCCGCACCGGCAGCACCACGACGCGACGCGAACCAGCCACCCGACAAACGCUGGGAGAAGAGGCCUCGUGAAGAAGUACACGCCGCCGGACCACCCGCCUCUCGCGCCCGAGGAGGGCCUCGUGGAGGCGAGCGCACGCUGGACGACAUCCUCGACGCCCAGUGCCCGUACCACAAGGACAUGCGCCACACUCUUCGAAACUGCCGGGACUUCAAGCACUCCGUCGAGCACGGCCGACCCUUCCAACCUCUACCGCCUCCUCCGCCGAGGGGAGGACCAGAUGAACCACGGCAGCCCCAUCGGCAGGAGGAGGGGGGAGGAGGAGCUUUCCCACGCGUUGACAGGGAGGUCAACGUCAUCUUCGGCGGGCAUGGGUCGCAGGAGAACAAAAGACAACAAAAGCUCAACGACCGCCAGAUACUGGUGGCAACCACCGGUCCUCCCGCCCCAUACCGGUGGUCGGAACACCCGAUCACUUUCACUCGGGAGGAUCAAUGGCUCAACUUUGACCAUCCAGGCAAAUACCCGCUCCUCGUCGAUCCGGUGAUCCGAGAGAGCCGGGUAAAGAAGGUGCUAGUGGACGGGGGGAGCAGCAUCAAUGUCACCUUCCCCCGUACGCUCCAAGGCUUGGGAGUUCACCUCAAAGAGCUCCACGAGUCAGACACUCCUUUCUUCGGCAUCGUGCCGACGGAAGGAGAAUACCCGCUGGGCCACAUCUACAUGCCGGUCACCUUCGGGACUCCGGAUAACUACAGAACCGAGUUCCUGAGGUUCGAGGUGGCGAACUUCGACUGCGGGUACAACGCCAUCAUCGGGAGGCCGGGGCUGGCCAAAUUCAUGGCCAUCCCGCACUAUACAUACAUGAUACUGAAGAUGCCAGGACCGCAAGGAAUCAUAACUGUGCGCGCCGACUUACAAGGCGCCGCAGAAUGUUUCCGAGUGGCCAUCCAAGCAGCCCUCACCACCAAGCCGUCAACGGUUCCUUCUACACCGGCGAACUCUAAGCCUGAGGAAGACCUCGCCGUACCGGCAAACGAAGCUCAGGCCGCGACCUCUAUGCGGCCGACUGAAGAAACCAAGCGGAUCAACCUGGGGUUUGCUGAUGAGCGCAAGACGGCCAUCAUCAGCUCCAGUUUGAAUGACAAAUAGGAAAGCGCGCUCGUCCAGUUCCUGCAAGAUAACCGAGACGUAUUCGCAUGGCAACCUGCGGAUAUGCCGGGAGUCCCGAGGGAGUUGGCCGAGCACAAAUUGAAAGUCUAUCCUCAGGCGAGGCCGAUCCGGCAAAAGCUGCGUCGUUUCACGCCCGACAAGAGAGAGGCCAUUCGUGCCAAGUUAGCUCGCUUGGUCACGGCUGGAUUUAUUAGAGAAGUAUUACACCCCGAGUGGUUAGCCAACCCUGUUCUUGUACUCAAAAAGAAUAAAGUGGAUUGGCGCAUGUGCGUCGACUAUACUGAUCUCAACAAACACUGUCCGAAGGAUCCCUUUGGGCUCCCGAGGAUAGAUCAGGUGGUGGAUUCCACCGCUGGGUGUUCUGUGCUGUCUUUCUUAGAUUGCUAUUCCGGGUAUCAUCAGAUUAGUUUGGCAAAAGAAGACGAGGAAAAAACGGCGUUCAUCACCCCGUUUGGUGCUUUCUGUUAUACCUCCAUGCCGUUCGGCCUCAAAAACGCUGGAGCGACUUAUCAGAGAGCCAUUCAAACAUGCUUAGCCGAUCACUGGGGCAAGUGUGUGGAGGCUUACGUAGACGACGUGGUGAUCAAAACGGAGAAUCCGGAAAACUUCAUCGAAGACUUACAGCUGGUUUUCAACAGCCUGAGAAGAUAUAGAUGGAAGCUCAAUCCUGAAAAAUGUGUUUUCGGGGUACCAGCAGGAAAGUUGCUCGGAUUUAUUGUCAGCCACCGGGGAAUUGAGGCUAAUCCAGAUAAGAUUGAAGCUAUCAUGAAGAUGGAAGCUCCUCGGUCGCAAAAGAAGGUUCAGCGACUCACUGGAUGCAUGGCAGCCCUGAGCAGAUUUAUAUCCAGGCUGGGAGAAAAAGGUCUGCCAUUUUACAAACUACUCAAGAAGGUGGAUAAGUUUCAAUGGACUUCAGAAGCACAAGAAGCUCUAGACGCACUGAAGAAAUUCCUGACAACACCACCAGUACUAAAACCGCCCCGGCGAGCUACGCCGACUCAACCGGCUGAAGAUUUACUGCUAUAUAUCUCUUGCACGACUCACGUGGUAAGCACUGCGUUGGUAGUCGAGCGAGUGGAAGGAGGGCAUGCCUAUCCGGUACAACAUCCUGUUUACUUCAUCAGCGAGGUUCUAGGCCCAUCAAAGAAAAAGUAUCCUCAGGUUCAGAAGCUAUUAUAUGCAGUACUUCUAACUGCCCGCAAGCUGCGUCACUACUUUGACGAUCACAAAGUCAUAGUAGUUACUGGUUUUCCAAUAGGGGACAUUCUUCACAACAAGGAAGCCAUUGGCCGAAUAGCCAAGUGGGCUUGCGAGUUGGGAUCCCAUGAUAUCGAGUUCCGACCUCGCACUGCCAUCAAAACUCAAGCACUGGUCGAUUUCGUAUCAGAGUGGACAGAACAGCAAGUUCCAGACAAUCCAGAAACGGCAGAAGUAUGGCGAAUGUAUUUUGAUGGCUCGCUGAAGCUGCAGGGAGCAGGAGCAGGGAUUCUCUUCACUGCACCUGGAGGCGAACACCUCAAGUAUGCUCUCCAGCUGCUAUUCCCGGCCUCUAACAACGCAGCCGAGUAUGAAGCUUUGAUACACGGAUUAAACAUCGCCAUAUCACUAGGUGUCAAGAGACUGAUGGUAUAUGGAGAUUCUCUGGUAGUCAUCAGUCAGAUAAACAAGGAAUGGGAUUGUUCAAGUGAUUCAAUGGGAAAAUACUGCGCUGUCGCCCGAAAGCUAGAAGAUAAAUUCGAGGGUCUGGAGUUUCAUCAUAUAGAAAGAGAUCGGAACACGGUGGCUGAUGUACUAUCCAAGCUCGGAUCCGGUCGGACUCAGGUCCCGCCCGGGGUCUUCGUGCAAGAAAUUAUCCAGCCGAGCAUCUCGACGGAUCAAAUAGAAGAGUGCAACAUCAUAGAUCAACCCAAGUCAGACUCUGAUGACUGGAGACAACCGAUUAUUAAGUAUAUAAAGAAUGAAGAAGAACCAGAUGACAAGAACUCGGCAGAGUGCAUUGCCAGACAAUCAGCUCACUAUACACUCAUUGGGGAGGUAUUAUACAGGAGGGGCGCGUCAGGCGUCCUCAUGAAGUGCGUUCUCCCGUCCACCGGGAAGCAACUUCUGGAGGAAGUCCAUGCAGGGCAAUGUGGAGUACAUGCAGCCUCCAGGACACUAGUCGGGAAGGUCUUCAGGUCAGGAUUCUAUUGGCCAACAGCAAAGAACGAUGCAGCCGAGUUAGUUCAGAGGUGUGAAGCUUGCCAAUACCUGUCGAAGCAACAGCACAUGCCCGCACAGCAACUACAGACCAUACCAGUAACCUGGCCUUUCGCGUGCUGGGGACUGGAUAUGAUUGGACCUUUCAAGAAAGCUCAAGGGGGAUAUACUCAUGUAUUGGUGGCGAUUGACAAAUUUACUAAAUGGAUAGAGUUCCAGCCCAUUGCUUCUUUAACCUCUGCUAAAGCCGUAGAAUUCAUACAAAGCAUAAUAUUCAGAUUCGGGAUACCAAACAGUAUCAUCACUGACUUGGGAUCCAAUUUCACCAGUUCAGAAUUCUUUGAUUUCUGCGAGCAAAAGAGCAUUCAAAUCAAGUACGCAUCUGUAGCACAUCCAAGAGCCAACGGGCAGGUUGAGCGAGCCAACAGAAUGAUAUUGGAGGCACUCAGGAAAAGGGUCUUCGAUAAGAAUGAAAAAUUUGCAGGAAAAUGGAUAAGAGAACUGCCUUAUGUCGUUUGGAGCCUGAGAACCCAACCUAGCCGAGCCCUGCAUGGAAACACUCCUUUCUUCAUGGUCUAUGGGUCGGAGGCAGUGCUACCUGCUGACCUCAAGUUUGGGGCGCCAAGAUUGAUCUUCGAAAGCAUAGCGGAAGCUGAGGCCACCAGGCUGGAGGAUAUUGAUAUACUUGAGGAAGAACGACUGAAUGCAGUAAUCCAAUCAGCACGGUACCAGCAGACUCUAAGGCGCUAUCACGAUAAGGCUGUGCGGCAACGUUUCUUUUCAGUAGGAGACCUCGUCCUCCGCCGAAUUCUAACGGGGGAGGGACGACACAAACUAUCACCCUUAUGGGAAGGACCCUUCAUGGUAGCAGAAGUCACCCGGCCCGGAUCGUAUCGCCUCACUCAGAUGGACGGCACAGAAGUUGGGAACUCCUGGAACAUAGAGCACCUCAGAAAGUUUUAUCCCUAGCUGUAUUUCAAAACUGCUGGGGCAACCAUGUAUUCUGUAAAGUGGAAAUAUGUCAUCAAUAAAGAGAGAUUUCAAAGAUACUCAGUUCGUUUACGAUUGACUUGCACGCUUACUUAACUAGGGGUGACCACUAUGCCCUACAAACGGAGCAAUCGACUUAAGUCGGCGACGACUUAAGGCGGUGCAACAUGCUUACGCUUACUUAACUCGGGGUGACCACUAUGCCCUACAAACGGAGCAAUCGACUUAAGUCGGCGACGACUUAAGGCGGUGCAACAUGCUCACGCUUACUUAACUCGGGGUGACCACUAUGCCCUACAAACGGAGCAAUCGACUUAAGUUGGCAACAACUUAAGGCGGUGCAACAUGCUCACGCUUACUUAACUCGGGGUGACCACUAUGCCCUGCUCACGGAGCAAUCGACUUAAGUCGGCAACGACCUAAGGCGGUGCAACAUGCUCACGCUUACUUAACUCAGGGUGACCACUAUGCCCUGCUCACGGAGCAAUCGACUUAAGUCGGCAACGACUUAAGCCGGUGCAACAUGCUCACGCUUACCUAACCCAGGGCGACCACUAUGCCCUACCAACGGAGCUAUCGGCUAAAAGUCAGCGAUGGCUUAGGCCGGUGCAACAUACUCGCGCUUAUGCAAUUCAGGGGAUGACUUCCAUAUCCCGAGAACAAACUUCAUAAUCAUCAUGCAGCAUUACCACAAACUUGCGAAUUAAUAAAUUCUGAUACAAUAAGGGAGUGAUCAUAUCAUUCGAAUGAUAAUCUGAUAACCCCUAACGAGUACUUGAUCAUGCUGACCGUGCGCUCAUAGCAUGCGAAAUGUUUCUCUAUUUUCCAAUGUCUUUCUCAGGAACGACUGACGAAGAAGGACGAUUCGAAGAAUCGGGGGCAGCAUUCACAUCGGCUCUUAUGUCUUUAGGGACAACCACGCCGGGUCUUCUCAUCAAGAUUCGUCCCGCCCGAAUAGCCUUGUCCAGGGCUUUAUCACGCUGAGCUUUGAAAGUGACAGCAGUUUCUUCGGCAACUCUAGUAGCCAGCUGAGCAGCUUCUAACUCCUGAGCAAUGGAUUUCUUAGAAGCUCGGAGUCCCUUGAUGGUGGCGUCCUUUGCUGAUAGCAACUGUGUAAGGCGGGUCACUUCGUCCGAAGAUUCUUGCAGCUUGCAACGCUGAUUGUCCAGUUCUUCCAUUGUAAAACGGUGGCUCCUCUCCAAGAUGGUCAGCGAAUUGCUAGAAUCUCGGUACAAUCUAUCCAGAUUGUCGCGAGAAGCAGCGAGGAUACGUUUUUCUUCCUGCAGACAAAAAUCAACUCCUUCAGAAUCCAAGCAAGUAAAAAGAGCAUGAUAAGGCGAAGCACGGUUUUGAAAGUUACCUUUUCAGAGUCAAGCUGAGCAUGAAGAGAUGAACUCAGAGCGUUGGCGUCAUCCAAAGCCGCGGAGACCUGACUCAGUUCAGUCUGGCUCUGAGAAUACCUCUCCUCGAAGUCAGCGCACCGUCGAGCCAUUUCAGCUUGAUCUUGGAAAUGUUUUUCCUCAAGAACUGCAAUCUGCCGAGUCAUUCCUAUCAAGAGGUAAUCAAAAUGAAAUGAGGUCAGAAGGUAAAACAAUCCACGAACAAAGGCAAGGAAGAAGAAGAAAGGGCACUAACCAGCAUUAGUUGCCUCCAACUUGGAUAUACGACGACGAAGCAACGCCGGAUUCCAACGCUCAAGAGAUGAAGCCACUUCUGGGAUGGAAGCACCCUGCGACUUUAGCUGGCUGGCCAUUCCAUCCACCAAAGCCUGAUAAGAGGAGCGGAUGAACAUAAUGACAACAAUUCAUGCAACAUAAAGAUCAAACUAAAGCACAGCACAGCACCUAGAGGUUGGAAAAAAGCGAAGGGAUCCCUAAGUCAGGAGAAAUCAGCUGGUAACCAGGUGCCAGACCACCACCCGAAGCAGCUUGCAGCAGACCAGCAGGAACGAGCUCAGUAUAUUUAACAGAGCCUAACGCCAGAUCAGUGGGGAUGCUGCCCUCUAAAGCGACCCCCUGAUCCGGAGUUUGGGCCACCACCAUAUCGCCAGAGUGUGGAGGUGAACCCGCAUGAACAUCCAUGGAAGUGCAGGAAGGAGACCUCGCUUGAACACCCUCGGGGGUUGGGUCAAAGUUGGCACUGCCCACUUGAGCCGGAUCAUCCCCGGCAACACCCUCGGGGGCUGGGCAGUGGCUUGCACUCUUCACCCGAGCUAAGCCUUCCCCGGCGACAUCCUCGGGGGCUGGGCGAGUGGCAGCACUAUUCAAGGGGUCCAAGCUCUCUGCCGUAACCACCUCUAAGGUUGACGGGACUUCAGCUACUUCCAUGGGAUCAGGACAAUCCAAGUCAGCAUCCCGAUCCUCGAGAUCAUGCUCUAAGGUUGACGAGGCACGGGAUGACCUCAACCCAGCAUCUGGCACGGCUGCACAAGUCUCUGUCGCAUCAACAUCCACAGGUUCUGACAACAAGUUCUCCGGGACCAUAUCCUCUAGAGUUUGAUCAAAGUUGGCCAUGGACAGUUCUUGCAGACCAAUAAGGGCAGACAAAGCAGGAGAAGGAACUCCACUACUUCCACCGCUAGCGACGAACUGCCGACUGUUUUUCCGAGUUAAUGGAGUUUCGUUUUCUUCCUCCUCAUCUUCCACAGUAACAGCGCAAACAGCAUCCUCAUUGGGGUCAGCAGCAGGCGGAGCACACCCAUUCGGAUCAAUGUCAGCAAGGCCAGUUGCAGUCAUUUCUUCAGCAGCAGGAGCUAAGGUACUGGCGUCCUCGUCAAAGCUGGAUACUCGCCGGAGGCGUCUUCUCUUUUUCUUCUGCUCAUUAGCAGAAGGCUCAGGGUGACUAGUUCGACUGGGGCGCCUCGGGCGAGUACUGACAAGUUUCGGGACAUCCAAGGUUGUAUCAACCUCUGGAAGGGGCACCACUGCCAACGUACCAUCAGGAGCAGCAUCAGAUGAAUCCUCAGCUAGCAGAUCAAGCAUGUCAUUUAUGUCUGCAUCACUGGGGUUUAGAGGCACUUCAAAAUAAACCUGUCGUUCGUCAUCAGGAAUUGCCCCAAGCGAAGCAACCAAAGUACUGACUUCCUCAGCAGAGGGUCGCACUCUAAGGCCUAAAUUGUUGUCGGUCACAGGCGGAUUUGACACAAAAAGGGUGAAAGCUUUGGGAGGAGGUAGGUUCCAAGCCGAGUAUGCCACUGGAGCACCAACAUUCGAAACUUUACCCCUGAGGAUCAUCUCAAGUCGGCUUACCAAGUCAACAGAAGGAAUUCUCCUAUUGGUAACACGGGUUGAAUCGGCCAGCCCUCGAUACAGAUAUGCCGGAUAGGCUCUGUCUUUCAGCGGCUGAAUGUUCUUGAAAACAAAAUCUGUGACCACAGCUUCGGCAGUCAGACCUCUCUCUUUCAGUAAUCCGACUUCAGUAAGCAACACACCUGCCUCGGCCACUUCUUGAUCCGUGGGGGGUUCAGUCCAACUCGGAGUACGAACGUCUGGCUGUCUUCCUGACCGGGAGGGGAGAGAAUUUCCAUAAUUGUCAACUAUAAACCACUCCAGACGCCAACCUUUAAUGCUAUCUUUGAGAGGUAUCUCGAGAUACUCGGUCUUCCGCCCACGGCGCAUCUCCAAACUAGCACCUCCGACCAGCUGAUGUUGCCCCCCAGCCAUUCCAGGGCGACAAUGAUACAGAUACUUCCAUAAACCAAAAUGCGGCAGCACACCGAGGUAGGCUUCGCAUAGGUGAACGAAAAUGGAGAUUUGGAGAAUGGAAUUAGGGUUCAAGUGGGUCAAGUUGAUAUGAUAAAAGUCAAGAAGGCCACGGAAAAAAGGAGAGAUUGGAAGGCCGAGGCCGCGGAGAAGAAAAGGAGCAUAGACUACUGACUCGUGGGUAUCUUCGGUUGGGACAGUAGUCCCGUGGCAGAUCCGCCAAGAACAGAGUUCCCGCGGAGGAAGAACCCCGAUGGAGACAAGACGGAGAAGCUCAGUUUCGGAAAUAACGGACAUGUGGUUACCUGCGAAGGGUAACUGACUGUUGGGAUCGAUUGCGGGGAUCACUGCAGCAGACGAGUUCGCAGAUUUCCUCUUGGGCGCCAUCUCGCUUCUCACUGGCAAACAGAGUAGGAGGCGAGUGGCAGAGAAGAUUUGGAUGCGGAAAUGCAAGAACUAGGGCACGGAAAGCAAAGGCGGCUAAAAGCGCAACUCUUAUGGGAUAUUCUUGAGCCAGAUACCGUUUCAAAAAGUGCCCAGUCAUCACCCAGCAGUUAUUUCCGGAAAAGUCGGCAUGGCACCUCACCACUCGGAUAUUAUCCUCAAAAUAACCCGCGCGGCUGGCUAGUACUCGGCGCUGCCUCUAAGGCGCUAACCCCGUAUUCAAUCGCUCGGCAUUACUUCUAAAAUGCCGACGCCGACCUUCAAAUCACUCAGCGUUGCUUCUAAAACGCUGACCCCGUAUUCUAUCGCUCGGCAUUACUUCUAAAAUGUCGACGCCAACCUUCAAUCACUCAGUGUUGCCUCUAAAACGCUGACCCUGUACUCUAUCACUCGGCAUUACUUCUAAAACGCCGACGCUGACCUUCAAUCACUCGGCGCGGAUUCUAACACGCCGACCUUGUGUUCAAUCGCUCGACGUUACUUCUAAAAACGCCGACGCCGACCUCCAAUCACUCGGCGUUGCCUCUAAAACGCUGAACUUGUAUUCUAUCGAUCGGCAUUACUUCUAAAAUGCCGACGCCGACCCUCAGUCACUCGACGUGGCCUCUAAAACGCCGAUCUCGUGUUCGAUUGCUCGGUGUUACUUCUAAAACGCUAAUGUCAACCUUCAAUCGCUCGGCGUUGAUUCUAAAGCGCCGAUACCGACUACAAUAUUACUCGGCAGCUACUUCUGGAAGCGUCAAUGUGAUGCGCAAGUUAUCCAUCUACAAUAUCAAAAGAACCAGUUCAACAAUCAGAAAAAGCGAACCAUCGAGAUGGGGCCAACGACAGUUCUUCAUUAAGGGGAAGUUAAUAAGUUUACAAACCAACUCUUCACGAGUUGGUGCUUCCCUACUUCUACUCUACAUUACUACUACUACUAAACUACACUACACUACUCUACAUUACUACUACAUUAUUCUAACUAUACUAAUAUCUAAAGACCAGUGGCGUUUAGCCACUGGCCCUGCCGCCGCUGCCCUUGCCGCCGCCGCCUCUGGUGCUGCCCACGCUGCUGCCGCCCUUGGUGCCAACCUUGCCGCCGCUGCCUCCGCCGCCGUUGCCACCAUCACCGUCGCCGUCGCCACCGUCGUCGUCGUCGUCGUCGUCGUCAUCUUCGUCCUCGCCGCCGUCCGAGUCCUCCUCGUCCGAGAACCCAGACUCAUCCGAGCCCUCGAGCCCGGAGCGCUCGACGGCCCGGAUGUACGUCCAGACCUCCGCCGCAAGCCCCUGGGAGUCGUCUGAGUCAUCAGACGACUCACGCAGGGGGAUGGGAGCCGGAGACCCCUCGGACUCAGAGGAGAACUCCUCCUCUGAGUAUUCCGAGUCACCAAACUCCUCUGAUGGAGGAGUCGGUUCGCGCUUGCGCUUGUUGCUCUUGCCCAUGGCGGAAGCAGGCGGGAGAGAAGAGAAGUAAGCAAUAAAGAACAGCGAGGAGAUGUGAAAAAACCAGAGGGGCAACGGCGUUAUUUAUAAAGGGAGAAGGCAACCGCUCACCUCCAACCGCGGUCACCAAACAGUCGCAAAGCAUUCAAUAAGCACUUCAACCCGUCUGAAGACACGUCAGGCGGCUGACGCCGUUUCAUGCAAUCCUACACCCAUUGGGACUCCAGUCAACAGCGCAAAGAAUAUGAUUACACUCGCCGUCACAUCACAUUACUACUCAGAAGCAGCCGGCAAAAACACUCAGCGUACCAAGCCGUCCCUUGCCCACACCCAUUGGGGGGGACGCCCAGGAAUUAUCAGUAUAUUUUUCAAAAUGGUCACAUCUGUGCAGGGCACGCAGUGAAUGCCUCAAGACAAAAAUGAGAUAUCAGUGAGAGUUAGAGGGAAGCCAAAUAUAGCCAGCAAAGUACAAGAUGUGGCUGACAGAAGCGAUGUGAGGACUAGACAGAGAACGUCCAUCAAACGUCCAAUCAAGUCGCAGAAGCAAAUAAAUUGCAUCACCUAGCAAGAUAUGGACGGAUUACAAACUCGGCUACUAAAGACAAAAUAUAUGCUGACCUCUGCAGCAAAAUUUUGAUGACAUAAUGCUGACCUCCAAAGCAUAAUGCGAACAACUUCAUGCCAAUUUCUACAAACGAAAAGGAUAAUUUUCAGCAAAGAGGCACGAAAGGACGACCUUCGAAUGGAUUAUCCUUAAAAAUCCAUUUGAAGGUCGGGGGUUACACCCAUUGGGUGCACCUCCGGUGCACCCCAUGGAGUAUCAUUCUAAACCGAUAUAGCGCCGAUUUCUAAGGCGUGGGGCAAGAUUGAAAAGACCAAUCCUCAACCGAGAUGCAGGAGCACGAAUGGAGAUAACCUUUAGAGAAGACCUUCGAGUAGAUUAUCUUCUAAAAUCUACUCAAAGGUCGGGGGCUACACCCAUUGGGUGCACCUCCGGUGCACCCAAUGAAGUCCAGAAUCUUACAAUCCAAAAUGUCGACCUCUAAGGCACAAGCACAAAGCUAAACUUUGGUCGAACGAGUGAUCAGAGCAAGAGAAAAUAGCAGGGAGUCAUUUUUUGGACCUUGGAUCUUUGAGUUGAUUACCUCUAAAUCAACCCAAAGAUCGGGGGCUUGUGGGGGAUAGAUAUCCCCUGGGUCCACUAAAGAAGUAAAAGGCCUCACGAAAGGCCCAAGGGCCUAAUAAUUCGUAAGGUCAUUCUUUCGUGGGCCUAGGGAAAGGCAACCAACAGAGAAGAGAAGACGUGAGACUGGACUGGUGCAAACCCGGACGGCCCACAACGUCGGACGAAUGAAUCGCAACAGAGACCCGACUUUCCCACGCUGAAGCCCCCAUGCAACGGAGCCAUGCGAGGAUAAGUCGGCGAAGGUUACGUAGGAUAAACUCAAGAAGUUCACUACCUUUUAGCUACUUGUUGUUAUCAUAUCCAUGUGUACUGCUCCACGGUCGAGUAUAUAAGGCCUAGGGGGCACCCUUUCAGAACGAUCGACCCUGUUUCACUUUGCCACCCACGAAAACUCUCUGUGCUUUCAACCCAGAGAGCCCUCUUGUAACCACGCCCGUAUACUCAUUAGGACGUAGGGUGUUACGCACUUCUAAGCGGCCCGAACCUGCAAAUCUUGUCCAUUGUUCCUCGUGCGAUCAGCACGAACCAUUUUGCUACAGUCGUCGACACCGUCCUACUCCUAAAAACACCUUGAGGGGCAACCCCGGGUGUGCGGUCGGACCCAAAACACCGACAGGCUGCGAAAGGGACAGAUAUUGAAAUUACACCUUCGGAGGUCGCAGCUGCCGAAGCUGCCUCGGCUGAAGAUUUGAACCUGGAGAGCACAAUCGAACACAUUGACAAAAUACUGCUAGACAUGGCUGCAGAAGAAGCUACCACCGCCGCCGAAGAGGCCGCGACCGCAGCGUCGGAGAAAGGGAAAGAAAUUGCUGAUGAAGCUUCAGAAAACGAAGCCUUCAUGUUCCAGAAUUUAGUUGGAGAAAAAAUGUCAAAAGCUGAAAGAGAAGAGCUUAGAGAAUAUGCAAAAUCCUGCGGAUACAAACCUAGAGCACUCCUCUUCGGAGGCGUUGAUGAUGAAAAAUUAGAUUGUAUUCGAGAUCAAACCGGAGCCAAAGUUAUCGGUACUCUGUCCAAGAGUAUCGGCUUUCCGAAGCUAGAAACAGACAUCAGCCGCUACCGACGACAACAUAUCGUCGGUAGUUUAUUUUAUUCCAACUUCAAGGUGAACUACUUUUGCCUUAACUUUUAUUGUUUCUAAUAAUGAAAACAUGUCUGACGAAGGUUGUUCUCGUGCAGAGUAUGCUGUUGAGCAAAGCCUUGCAAAUGCAGCAAGAUUUUGAAGAUAGGAAGCACGAAGUUAUAAUUGAAAAUUUGGAAAGCAAAAUAAAGGAGCAAUCAGAUGCUUUCGAGAAAAAGAACUUUGAGCUCCAGGCAACCGAAGGUUUAUUGGCGGAAGCUGAAGCAAAAAUAACAGAACUGAACACGAAGCUUCUCCGCCAGUCUGAACAGUUCGAACGAGAAAAGCAAGAUCUUAGUGCAAAACUUGAAGCCGAAGCUCAACAAAAUUCAGAUUUGAGAAAACUAUUGACAAGCCUUCAAGAAAAAUGUUUGGAAUUUAGCAACAAAUGCAUUCAACGAUUAAGAAAGAUUUUUCACUCAGUUGGGGCCAGCAGUGAAAAAUUCACCCCCUCAGCUGAAGAUCUACCGAAAACCUUCGAACAUAUUGAGGGUGAGAUUGACGAGCUCGACGAAGUCAUAGCUGGGCACGGUGACUUCUGUGCCUGGGUGGCUUCUCGGGGCACUGCUGCAGCUUUCCUGAAAGCUGGCUGCGAUCAUGGAAAGAUUGUCAAUAGGCCAAAUUUCACUUUAACACCAUCAAUCCUAGAUGACAUUCCUGAUCUCGCCCGAAGUAUCUCUAAUAGAUUUGUAAAAAUGAUAUGGACAAAAGGCGGGCGAGAAAAGGCUGGAGACGAAGCUCGUAGCCACCUUGAACCAGUAAGAAACCAUACCUUGUGCUUACCUUUUCCUGCAAGGUCGAUUCUGACUUACAACGACCUUAUUCAUGUAGGAUGACGAAGCCGAAGCCGAUGAUUAAAAAUGACGCUGAAGCCGAAGCUCCUUGGAGAUUAGAUAGUAGACUGUAGACAGUACUUGAGAAACUUUUGAGAUAACUUUUGUAAAUGUAACUAAAACUUGUCUUUAAUGAAUUCUGUUCAUACCUUGUGAUAUAUCCUUAUCCUUCCAUUGAUGUAUGAGAAAUGCUUUGAUGUGGACGAAAUUUUCUUUUUUGAGCCGAAGGCGAAAAAACACCUUCCCUUCUUUUCGUACGCAGCGAAGCAUAGAAAACAACAUUUUCCUUUUUCUGAAGCUCUCCUUUUUGUACACGAAGCUCUUUCUUCUCCUUCUUUUUUUUCUUUUUGCCGAAGCAACCACUUAUGCCAUGAAGAUGAUUAUCCUACACAUGCCUAGAUGAAUGUUUAUGAAUGCAAAUGCUAUGAUGUAAUGUGAUGUGCAAAUGAAUGGCCAAACACGUAUCCGAAGCCAUACUCAUAGCCAUUAUUUUCUUAAAAACAAUCACACCUCAGCUCUGCAUUCCCUUAGGAACGACUUUGGAGCUUCUUCGCCUUUACUUUUGGCGGAAUCAGCGUUGACUUUUCGCUGUAAGCUCUGCAUUCCCUUAGGAACGACUUUGGAGCUUCUUCGCCUUUACUUUUGGCGGAAUCAGCGUUGACUUUUCGCUGUAAGCUCUGCAUUCCCUUAGGAACGACUUUGGAGCUUCUUCGUUUUUACUUUUCGGCACUCGAUGGUGCGUUCUCAGCUUUUACAUUUACAUUCCUUGGGGGAUUUUGCUCUUAUAGAACUAAAAAAGGAAAUUACAUGUGAUGGCCCCAUUAAAAACCUUUCUCCCCCUUCGGAAAGGAAAAGGGUGCCAUGAAAGAAAAAUAAAAAAUAUGAAAAAUUACAUCGAGUUAUACAUAGUAUCGCUGAAGCUCAUCCGCAUUCCAAGAUCUAGGAAUGUCGUUGCCGUCCAUAUCCUUCAAUCUGUAUGAACCGGGUCUUGACGAAGAUGCUAUUAAGAAAGGUCCAUCCCAUUUCAACUGCAACUUGCCCACUGUUUCUGGAUUGGCCACUCUCCGAAGCACCAAGUGUCCUGGCUCAAUAUUCUUUAGCCGAACCUUUCUAUCUCGCCAUUUAAUUGUUUCGGCUUGAUAUUUAUUGAUGUUUUCCACGGCUUGUAGCCUGAUCCCUUCUAAAGCAUCUUUUUCCACAGAAUAAGCAGCUUCGGAACCUGAUUCUGCCGAAGCUACUACCCUUAUUGAUCCGGUUUUAGCUUCUUCCGGAGUUAUUGCUUCGUCACCGAAUAAUAACUUGAAUGGAGUAAAGCCUGUAGACCUUGAUGUUGUUGUAUUGUGGCUCCACACCACUUUGGUUAACUGAUCUGGCCACUUUCCCCUGGGUUGAUUGAAGAUUAACUUCAUUAUUCCUAUCAUUAUGAUGCCAUUGGCUCUUUCAACGAGUCCAUUUGACUCCGGAUGUCUGACUGAUGCAAAAUGGAUCUUCGUACCAAUUUGAUCACAGAAAUCCCUAAAAGCUUCGGAGUCAAACUGUGUUCCAUUAUCCACAGUGAUAGCCUUUGGUACCCCGAAACGACAAACAAUAUUCUGCCAGAAAAACUUUUGGACGGUGGCCGAAGUUAUUGUGGCUAAAGGCUUUGCCUCAAUCCAUUUAGAAAAAUAUUCCACCGCCACUACAACAUAUCUUAGGUUCCCUUGGGCCGGUGGUAACGGACCUAACAAGUCAAGGCCCCACCUUUGCAAUGGCCAAAUGGGUUGUAUGAGCUGUGUUAAGGACGAAGGUUGUUUUUGAUCUCGUGCAGAUUUCUGACAACCUUCGCACUUUUGGACUAAUUCCGCUGCAUCCGAAGCUGCCUUCGGCCAAUAAAAUCCUUGGCGGAAAAUUUUUCCAAGUAACGGCCUAGAUCCAAUGUGAGAUCCACACAGGCCUGCAUGUAUUUCUUUCAUCAACUCUAUACCUUCGGUUCUGGAUAAACACUUGAGUAGCGGAGCACAGACUCCAUGCUUGUACAACUCUCCUUCUAUCAUGACAUAUGGACGAGCUCUUGCCUCUAUCCUUCUGUUAUAAGCUUCGUCAUCUGAAAGGAAUUUACCCUGAAGAUAAGAGAUGAUCUCAGUUCUCCAAUCUUCGCUAUGAACAGGAGAUAUAUUGAGGACUGCUCUUUCAAGAAGUUCGACCGAAGGUGCUUUUAUUGUUUCGAAGAACACAUCCGAAGGUAAGGGCAGCCCCUGUGCUGCUGACUUAGCUAGCAAAUCAGCAUGCUCAUUUUGUCCUCGAGGGAUAUUUUUGACAGAAAAUCCCUCGAAGGAAGCUUCAACUCUUCGAACGAUAUCCAGAUACUUUUCAAGCUUCGGAUCUUUAGCCUUGCAACUCUUGUCAAUAUGACCCGAAACAACUUGGGAAUCAGUUUUAAGAACAGCCCUUCUGAUUCCCAUUGCUUUUAGCUUCCGAAGACCCAGAAGCAGGGCUUCGUACUCGGCAAUGUUGUUUGUGCAACUAAAAUCAAGCUUUGCCGCAUAACAAGUUUUAACUUUGGAAGGUGAAACCAACACAGCAGUCGCUCCCGCUCCGAAGGUUCCCCAGGACCCAUCACAAAACACUGUCCAUGCUUCGGCGUCUUUAUUUGUUUCUUCCUCCUGAGCCCCUGGCGUCCAGUCAGCAAUGAAGUCUGCUAACGCCUGGGACUGAAUCGAAGAUCUAUGAACAUAUUCAAUACAAAAUUCAUUGAGCUCUGCAGCCCAUUUUCCAAUCCUUCCAGUAGCUUCUUGGUUCUUCAUAAUAUCCUUCAGAGGUUGUGAAGAAGGAACAAUUAUGUUGUAAGCUUGAAAAUAGUGCCGAAGCUUCCUGGAUGCCAUCAAAACAGCAUAUAACACCUUCUCUAAUUCUGUGUAGUUUUUCUUUGAUAUACUAAGAACUUCAGAUACAAAAUAUACUGGGACCUGCUUCCUGGCUUGGCCAUCAAGCUUCUCCUGGACAAGUGCUGCACUUACCGCUGAGUGCGAAGCUGCCACAUAUAAUAAUAAGGGAGCCCCUGGCGUAGGUGGAGUUAGUGCUGUUAGAUCUAUCAAAUAGUGCUUCAGCUCUUCGAAGGCCUUCUGCUGGAUUGGUCCCCAUUGAAAGACUUCGACUGACUUCAGCACUUCGAAGAAUGGUAAGUUUCUCUCUGCUGAUCUGGAUAUGAAUCUAUUGAGAGAUGCCAACCUUCCUGUCAAUCUUUGAGCCCCCUUUUUUGUAGUUGGUGGCUCCAUCCGAAGUAUAGCUUCAAUCUUACUUGGAUUAGCUUCAAUUCCCUUUGUUGAAACCAAGCAUCCUAGAAAUUUCCCCUUCUUUACUCCGAAGACGCAUUUUUCUGGAUUCAACUUUAAGCCAGCUUGUCUGAAACUGGCGAAGGUCUCCUGGAGGUCAGCAAUAUGAUUCUCCUGCUUCGUGCUUUUUACAAUGAUGUCAUCAACAUAAGUUAGCACAUUUCUGCCUAUCUGAGACUGGAGAACCUUCGCAGUCAUUCUGCUGAAACUUCCUCCAGCGUUUUUGAGCCCCUCAGGCAUCCAAAGAUAACAAUAUGUGUCACUUGGAGUUAUGAAGCUAGUCUUCGGCUCAUCUUCCUUCUUCAUCCAGAUUUGAUGAUAGCCUGAAUAGCAGUCUAACAGACUCAUGAGCUCUGAAGAAGCUGCUGCAUCAACUAAAGAGUCUAUCCUUGGCAAUGGGAAUUCAUCCUUCGGACAAGCCUUGUUAAGAUCUGUAAAAUCGAUACACAUUCGCCACUUGCCAUUGGCCUUUUUUACCAUAAUAGUGUUAGCUAGCCAUUCUGGGUACUUUACUUCUCUAAUAACUCCUGCACUGAGGAGUCUUUUGACUUCGUUGCGAGCACCUUCGGCCUUAUCAUCUGACAUUUUCUGAAGCCUUUGCUUUCUGGGUCUGAAGGAUGGAUCGACAUUGAGCGAGUGCUCAAUAACAUCCCUAUUAACUCCGCAGAGAUCAUUGGCUGACCAUGCAAAAACAUCUUUGUUGUUGAACAAAAAUCUUAUCAAGGUUUUGUCUUGUUCUUCGGAUAACUGAGAGCCCAACAGCACCUUCUGUUCUGCUAUAUCCUCACAUAAGAGCAUGGGCUUCGGCUGAUCUGCUGAAGCUGCUUUCUCCCUUCUGAAUUUGUAUUGUUCACAAGCUUCAGCUCCAUCUAUGUUAUGGAUUGCUUUUGAAUCAGUCCAGUUUCCUUCGGCCCUUCUGGCAGCUUCCUGGCUUCCAUGAAUAGCGAUGGGUCCUUGAUCCGAAGGUAUCUUCAUGCAAAGAUAGGCAGGGUGAAGAAUUGCUUCAAAAGCAUUGAGGGUGCCACGACCAAUAAUUGCAUUGUAAGGGUAUUCCAUGUCAACGAUGUCAAACACAACUUGCUCAGUUCUAGUGUUGUUGAUGAACCCGAAGGUCACUGACAUGGUAAUCUUGCCCAGUGCUACAAUUUGUCUUCCUCCGAAACCACAGAGAGGAUGUGUAGCAUCAUGAAUCUUAUCUUCUGGCUCUUGCAUUUGUCUGAAGGCCUUAGCAAAUAUGAUGUCAGCUACACUGCCUGUGUCAACCAAGACAUUGUGGACCAGAAAUCCUUUGAUAACACAAGAAAUAACCAUGGCAUCGUUGUGUGGGUAAUCCUUGAGCUGAAGGUCCUCUUGGGAGAAGGUAAUAGGAAUGUGAGACCAUCUUGACUUGAUGAAGGGUCCUUGCACCCCAACAUGUUGUACCCUUCUCUGUGCUUCCUUCUUUUGUUUCUUGUUAGCUGGCUCUGAGGACGAGCCACCUGUGAUCGGGAGCACCAGCUUCGGGUCCGAAGCAGCUCCAGCUUGGUCGUUGAACGAAGCCAUCAGCUCAAAAAAGUGGAAGUGAGUUCACCGGAGGUGGGCGCCAAUGUUGGGGACUUGUUCUCAAAUGCUAUGAAUUAAGAACAAGGCAACAUAAAAUGUUAAAUGUUAACGUCCUUCGUCCAUGAAACAUUAUUCCCUUGAGGAUAAUGAGCCUUAGACGAAGGUUAACGAGAAUAUGAUUACGAAGCUUAAAUCUUCGUAAUAAAAUUUCAAUAAAUAUUGUAAGACAACGUAGAAUAUAGAGUAUAAAAAGGGUGAAUAAUUCAUAAAUGAAUUAUAUUAUACUAUAUUUAUUUGAUAUGAUGAAUCAUUGAAUACAAUAAUACCUCUGCCUUGGUAAAGGUUAGAUUCCGAAAGAUGCGAUUGCAAUUAUCAGAAUGCCCGAACAGUAAAGGAAUACUGUUCACUAUUUAUAGGCACAGGGCGCAGCCUGUGAGGAAUUACAAGUAUGCCCCUUAUAAAAGUUUACAACAUUGACUCAGACCUUUAUGGACUAAAAGGUCAUUCUAUCUUUAGGUCGGUUUGUAAUACCGAAGCUUUAUGAAGAGGAACCUUCGGCCAUCUUAUACAAACAGCUUCAGCCGCUUCUUCCUACAAGACCUUCGGCGACGAAGCAUAGGCCCAACACCGACCAAAUCUUCUUUUCGAGCCAACUCUGCCUCUGUCCGUGCUGACACCGCUACCUCCGGCUUCGGCUCAUCGAAGAGCGGCCGAGGGUUCCUUUAACUAAGCAAGAGAAGCCUCGGACAGCAAGGCCGACCGAGCUGAGGGACUCCUACGCCUCUGGGAUACGGAUACCUCACUCGUCACCUUCGCACGAGGCGACUCACGCUUGGUGAAGCGGUUCAGAUAGCCGACAGGCGAGUCUUAGUGCUCGAAAUGAGGAAAAAACAUGGCUCCAUGCCGAAAAUACAUACAUGUUCAGGCCCCGACAGCCACAAUGAACAAGACACCGGCACUCAAGGUGCCAUUACAAAUGGAACUCCGGUUCCGUCCCCGCGGGUACGAACAACCCCCCCCACAUUGGAGGGCCCGCGGGGCGAUAAGGCUCCAGGUCGCCCACUAUCGCCCGCUCCAGCAGCAGCGACGACGACCUCCACUCCGGGUGGCCGAACAGCAGCAGCGAUGACCUCAAGGUGGAUGCUGCUGCCAUAGGGCCCUCGCCCACUUCCUCACUCGAGAGGCAAGGACGAGCAGAAGGCCGUAGAGUUGGAGGUCAGUCCAUGGGCGGCACCGGCUAUCUCGUCAGCGGAGAAACCUCUUCCGGCUGCCGUGGCGGAAGGCGGCGCCGGAAGCGGCUCCGAAGCCGCUCGGGUCAGAGAGCCGGGCAUGCGGCAGCUGCCAGCGCCACGAACGGCGAACGCCCUUCCCCCUGAUCACUGAGGGAAGGAGCGGGCCGCUGCCCGCGCAGAGACCGACCCCAAUUCGGCGCACUCCCCUCCCCAGCACUGAUGAUGAACAUCCUUGAAGCUGAGGGAGGGGCAGAGGCCGCAGCCCGGCUUGCUUCUCCCCACCCAGGGGUUGGUGGUCACCGUCUUGGGUGACCACCGGCAAGGGGAUGCGGUCGGGCUGCCUGAUGAAAAUCCUUGAAGCCGAACGAUGGCUGAAAGGUGCCAACUUCCGCGAAGUUGCAUCCCUCCAACGACAAGGCGGAAGGAUUGCGGGCGUUCCCCAUCCGGGGGCUCGGAAGGUGGAAAGACGCGAUGCAUAAGGGAGCGCGAAGACAUGGUCGCCUUUCAAGGGGAUCACCCUCCUUUUAAAGGCGACUCUCCCCACUUGCGUCCUCAGCCAUCACGGGCUGAGUCUUCUCCAACACGCUCCAAGGUCCUCCCCCUACGACACGGGGGUUGGGUCCCACGCGUCAUGCAAGCUGGCCCAGGGCAGAAGAAGCCAAACCGCCGUGCGCGGUGCAUGCAACUGCCCAGCGGUUACAAGCAUUCCUCCACUUUCUCCCAGACCAGCGGGUGAAAGGGCGGACAGCCAUGCAGUCGGCAUGCAACCGCGCCAAGUGGGCGCACCCCUUCGACUCCAACGCGCCCAGCAUGGAGGCCCAGGCCCACACGUCAUGCAACCGGCGCGCCGGUUGCUACGUGCGAGCAACUGCACCGCCCCUCGCGCCACUACCGCGCCUCCUCGACUGCGGAACCAGUACCGCGACUCGAGGCAACCCUGCGUAUGACCCAACAGUGCCAGCCAGGCGCAUCGGUCACGGGCCAGUCAGCCGUGGGAGAAGGCGCGACGGUCAAUGCGGCCAAAAAUGGGUCGGCAGUAAUGGCGGUGGCAGGCGGGCGGAAGCAGCGGUCACGUCGUCAGCCAGGCUCACGUCCCCUCAUGGGACAGCGAGAGAACCCUCUCCCACGGUGUGAAGACGGCGCGCCCGUGUUCCGUUCCUCGAACGGCUCGCGCACGCGCAAUGGCUGCCCCGCAAACCACUCGCCCUGUCGCAUUAACUCCCCGGCGGGACAGGCGGCACUUUUGGCUGGAGAAGCGGGCGACGCUUCGCCUUCGCCAUAACGACCGCGUCAAAAAAAAGUGUGCCACGUCAUUCGAUUCUGUAUCCUUUUCCUCUUCCUCUUUCUCUCUCUUACAACUGGGACCGGGAAAGGGGAUACCCCGAAAGGGAUCCUUCUCCGUGAAGGAAAUGGGCCCCGAGCCCCCUACUGAUCAGAGGUUCGAAGGCUGGCCCCUCGGAGGGGUUCAACAGCCGCCUCAGAGCGCUCGGGCUCCGCGCCCACUACUGGUCAGAGGUUCGAGGGCCGGCCCCUCGGAAGGGUUCAACGGCCGCCUCAGGCCACUCGGGCUCCGCGCCCACUACUGAUCAGGGGUUCGUAGGCUGGCCCUCGAAGGGUUCACAGCCGCCUCAGACGCAGAGCGAGGGAUGACCCUGGGUACGUUCGAUACAUAACCAAGGCUCGGGCUACGCUCCCGAGGUACCCUAGGACAUUUCCGAGACCAGCGGGAACGAUCUUGUAACGGAAUCCCAUCAGAGGGAGGCAUCGAGCCCUCGGACCCCGUCAAAAGGGGACCGGGUCCGGUAGAUCACCCGUAGGUACUUUUGGAAGCGCGCCUCCGGGCCUCUAGCCGACCCCUAACAAAUGGGGCACGGGCGUCCACUCGGAUUACCCAUCAGCAGCUCACUGGAGACACCAUGUUCGGCGCCCUUCGAGGGCAACAUAGCGCUUUCCCCCCCCCUCCUCCUUGCGAAAAGGCGACGCAGGGGCGUAUGUAAAAAAGUCGAGUCUGUCCUUGACCGUCCUCUCGCCCUGUGCGGAGGCUCGGGGGCUGCUCUCGUAAACCCGGCUCCAGCCAAACCGUUGACAGCGUCAACAUGCCAGCCCGAGAACUUGGGACCCGACCGUGCACCCGGGCUACGGCCAGCUCGCAUGAGGGAACAACCAGACCGGCCGAAGCAUCGCGAAACGCAUUAAGACCUCGAAGGAGUCAAACUACUCCUCCGAGGCCUCGGGGGCUACACCCGGCGGGUGCGCUUGCGCGCACCCACCGGAACAAAAUGCAACCGAGAAAGGCCGGUCCCCUUGCAAAAAAGUGCGACAAAAGCCUCCAAGCGAGUAUUAACACUCCCUUCGAGGCUCGGGGGCUACUGUCGGGGACCAUAAUUAGGGGUACCCCCAAGACUCCUAAUCUCAGCUGGUAACCCCCAUCAGCACAAAGCUGCAAAGGCCUGAUGGGUGCGAUUAAGUCAAGGCUCGGUCCACUCAAGGGACACGAUCUCGCCUCGCCCGAGCCCAGCCUCGGGCAAGGGCGGCCGACCCCGGAGGAUUCACGUCUCGCCCGAGGGCCCCCUCAAGCAACGGACAUACCUUCGGCUCGCCCGAGGCCCAGUCUUCGCCAAGAAGCAACCUUGGCCCGAUCGCUGCGCCGACCGACCGAAUCGCAGGAGCAUUUAAUGCAAAGGUGGCCUGACACCUUUAUCCUGACGCGCGCCCUUCAGUCAACAGAGCCGAAGUGACCGCAGUCACUUCGCCGCUCCUCUGACCGACCUGACAAAAGGACAGCGCCGCCUGCGCCGCUCCGACUGCUACGCCACUCGACAGAGUGCGGCUGACAGCAGCCAAGUCCGGCCUCGAGCGCCAUAGGAAGCUCCGCCUUGCCCGACCCAGGGCUCAGACUCGGGCUCAGCCCCGGAAGACGACGAACUCCGCUUCGCCCGACCCCAGGGCUCGGACUCGGGCUCAGCCCCGGAAGACGACGAACUCCGCAUCGCCCGACCCCAGGGCUCGGACUCGGGCUCAGCCCCGGAAGACGACGAACUCCGCAUCGCCCGACCCCAGGGCUCAGACUCGGGCUCAGCCCCGGAAGACGACGAACUCCGCUUCGCCCGACCCCAGGGCUCGGACUCGGGCUCAGCCCAGGAAGACGACGAACUCCGCUUUGCCCGACCCAGGGCUCGGACUCAGCCCUGGCCUCAGUCGACGGUCUCCGCCUCGCCCGACCCAGGGGCUCGGACUCGACCUCGGCCUUGGGAGACAGACUCGACCUCGACCUCGGAGGAGCCUCCACCUCGCCCAACCCAGGGCUCGGACCGACCACGUCACAGGAGGCGCCAUCAUUACCCUAUCCCAAGCUAACUCAGGCUACGGGGAACAAGACCGGUGUCCCAUCUGGCUCGCCCCGGUAAACAAGUAAUGAUGGCGCCUCGCAUGCUCUAUGACGACGGUGGCUCUUAGCCCCCUUACGGAAGCAAGGGGACGUCAGCAAGGACUCGACAGCCCCGACAGCUGUCCUUCCGCCAGGCUCCAGCGCUCCUCCGACGGCCACGACACCACACGAACCGGGUGCCAAAACCUCUUCGGCUGCCACGAUGGCAUGUACCUAGGGCACUAGCUCUCCUCCGCUAGACACGUUAGCACACUGCUACACCCCCCAUUGUACACCUGGAUCCUUUCCUUACGCCUAUAAAAGGAAGGUCCAGGGCCCUCUUACAGAGGGUUGGCCGUGCGGAGAAGGACGGGACGGCGCUCGCGUAAGGCCGCUUGCUCCCUCCCGCGUGGACGCUUGUAACCCCCUACUGCAAGCGCACCCGACCUGGGCGCGGGACAAACACGAAGGCCACGGGUUUCCCCUUUUACGCCUGUCUCCCUCCGGCUUCUUCCCCCUUCGCGCUCCGUCUCGCGCCGACCCAUCUGGGCUGGGGCACGCGGCGACAAUUUACUCGUCGGUCCAGGGACCCCUCGGGUUCGAAACGCCGACACCUAACACUGCGGGUUCUGUUUUAUAGACGCUCGGACCUGGUCCGGCUCGACCGGAUUGCACCGUCGGACCUGGACUUCCUCUAGUUAUUCAAAGCUCAGAUCUCUUAAUCUAUAUAUAUAUAUAUAUAUAUAUAUAUAUAUAUAUAUAUAUAUAUAUAUAUAUAUAUAUAUAUAUAUAUAUAUAUAUAUAUAUAUAUAUAUAUAUAUAUAUAUAUAUAUAUAUAUAUAUAUAUGAGAAAAUAUCUUUUAAGAGUCUAUAAAAGAUGGAUAGGAAAAAAGAUGUAGAAGAUAUUGCGUUGGAGAUAACCUUAAUACUCGUGUGUUCAUGAAAUGGUAACUAAAUUAUUUCUGUUUAUAAGCUCCCAGUGCAUCAUAUGAACUAGAAAAAUAGGAUUCAUGUGCUUGUUAAAGAGUAACCAAAUUAUCUGUGUUUAUAAGUUCUUAGUGCAUCAUAGGAACUAGAUAAAUAAGAUUUUUUUAUCUUUUGUAUAUUUACAGUAAUUCUUAUUAUUGUAGCUUACUUUUUAAUCCGGAGAGGUCCUGCAACGUUUAUAUCUAUUUGCACGAAUAGUUCGACGGAUUUUAAUUGUUAAUUCAUAGAGUUUGAUAAGCAUGUCUUAGAAUGACAAGCAAAUAGAAUCUCCAAUAGUGAAAAAUAGAAAAUCUAUAUGAGAAAACAUAAGCAAACGGUCUUCUGCCAGAGGUCAUGAGGAUUGGAUGAGAUUAAUGGAAAUUAAAUUUCUUUCUAUUUAAUUUUAAAUAGACUAUAAUUAAAUCCCCUCCUAUUCUUUUCAAUCCAUUUCUAACUAAACAAGUGCUAAGUCCUUAGUCCUCCGAGUACUUUUUACUAGCAAGGGUGGCAACAGACAUCCUUCGGAAAUCUAUAGUCUCAACACUAACUUAUUUUAUAAAAAAAAUUAACGCAUUAAUAUUUAUAUAUCUAAAUAGAUACCUCGAGGCUAUGUUGGUUUCAAUCCUAAUUCAUAUGGAUUGAAAGAGAUUAAGUAAGUUUUAAUCACUAGAAACUUAAAAUCUAUCUUAUCUCAGUUCAUAUCAAUCCCUCCGAUCCAAAUAGAAUGAAAAUAACCAAACCAAUCCUGAAAAAUAAUUAUUCUUUUACAUACCUCAGAGGAAUUUGUUGCUUAUGUUACGUACACGCUCUGCAGAGUUGAGCGGGAAAUUGGUUGUACUUUAUUUAUGGUUAUACAAGACUUUAUUUUCGUUUUAUGACAACUCACGGGGGGAGGGGGAUCAUCACACGUCAAUGGCAUAUUGAUAUAUUUGAUCCUCUUUUUUCGAGACAUUAAUCUAGUAAGUUAGCCAAACGUACGGUAGGUGAUUCUUUUUCUGUUUAGAGGAUGUUUGGUUUCUAAAAACUAAUUUUUAGUCCAUUCAUUUUAUUCUAUCUUCGUAACUAAAUUGUUAAAUAUGAAAAAUAAAACUCGUUAACGUAGAGACUAAAAUAAAAUAAAAUAGAAGGACUAAAAAUUAGUCAUUAAAACCAAACACCCUUUGAGAAAUGUUUCUGGAAAUAAUCUGAAUCUGAAAUAUUUUUUAGAACAUGCAGGUCCCUAUCCUAGUUUACUUUCGUGUACAGUGAGAAUGGAAAUGGAUUGAAGUGUGUCAUUCUGUGCUGGGAACAUUUGAGUAGCUGGAUACAAAAAACAUUGGAGAACUUGUACUGAACUACUGACAGAAGAAAUUAUUCACGUGCCAUGUCCUCAAGAAAAAUCUGAAUCUGCUAAAUGCCGACAAAGUAAAGAAGCUCGAAAGGCAUUUGCUGUCCUCUUAUUAGCAGAAAAUUAAAUAUGCAAAGCAAAGCAGAAGCCUAGAGAGUAGAGAUACAUACAGUCCACUGCCCAAACCAUCACGUCGCAGUAGCACAUAUUUUACACGUUUGUACUCACUUUCUGUCUUGGCUUGGCACUCUGACACGGGCGCACCACACGUCGACUACUCGACUGAGAGUGAGACCAACUAAUGAGCAUGUCCUAGGUAGGAAAAACUGUCGCCGGCUGCCGGCGCCGGCCACGGUGGGCAUCACGCCAAGCCGACGAGCUUCUCGCUGAUCUCCCAGAGCUUCUUGGCCUUGUCGGCGUCGCUGGCCUCCUCAGAGAGCUGGUUCUCGAAGGACGCGGAGUUCUUGUUCCAGCUCCAGUACACGCCGGACUUGGUCAGGCUGGGGUCGCUCACCACCUGCGCCAGCCGCUUCCCGGCCUCCUCCUCGGAGACGUACCCCUUGGUGAUGUACUUCUGGAACGGCGGGAAGAGCAGGCGGAACAGCGGGAUGUGCUCGCGGAACAGGCCCGUGGUGGCGAUGCAGCCCGGGUAGAGCGACGCGAAGGUCACGCCCGUCUCCUCGUGGUACCGGCGGUGGAACUCCUGCAUCGUCAGCAUGUUGCACACCUUGCUGUCCUUGUAUGCCUUGGCGCCGUCGAACUCCCCGCCGUCGAUCAUCACCGAGCUGCCAACGCCGUUGAGGCCGCCGGCGAGGCCGCGCAGGUCGCCCAGGUUCGCCUUCGGGGGCACGUUCCCCGCCAGCGUGUUCGUGUUCCCUGCUCGAUCAGCCAAUGCGCAGCUCAGACCACCAGUGACAGGAGUCCAGAUCCAUAAGGCAGAGUACGACAGCGCGGCACUAUCAGUCUAUCUUAUCGAUCAGCACGUACCGGUGAUGGAGCCGACGAUGAUGAGGCGCUUAGAGGGGUAGUCGGAGGACUGGAGGUCGCUGAGGAGCUCGCGGGCGAGGAGGAAAUGGCCGAGGUGGUUGACGCCGACGCUCAUCUCGAAGCCGUCGGCGGUGUAGGACGGCUCCUUGGCGGUGGGCUGGUACACGGCGGCGUUGCAGACC